rnacentral:lncRNA from 1 species
AUCCAUUUUUAUUCGGCUCAAUCUUUUUUUUUCUAAAAAAAAAGAUUGAGCCGAGUUUAAUUGCAGUCAAUUAGAAGAAUAAAGAAGAAUUACUGCAUUUCGUAACUUAUUUUUUCUCUUUUUAUUUUGUUUCUUUUUAUUUAGACCUUCUUCAUAUUUAGUUUUAUCUAUUAAUUGAUAGUAUCUACCGGCGCGAACUCGAAUUUGAUCGCCUUCCUUUCAAUAAUAAAAACUCUUUUGUUUGUAAGAAAGGAAUGAGAGAGAUAUGGAUUAGAAAUUGAAUUUCCCCUUUUUUUUCUUUCUCUUUUUUUCUAUAGAUCAGACAUUUGUUUAUGGAAGAAAAAUAAAAAGAUUUAGUUCAUAUUCACGAAGCCCCAGAUUUUUGGGCCGAGCUGGAUUUGAACCAGCGUAGACAUUUUGUCAACGAAUUUACAGUCCGUCCCCAUUAACCGCUCGGGCAUCGACCCAGGAAGAAUUUGAUAAUCUAUGAUUAAUCUCCUUUCAUAAUACUCCCUACCCCCAGGGGAAGUCGAAUCCCCGCUGUUCGGCGAAACCACUGCCCAAAAUUGUUGAUUUUUAAAUUUACUCUCAGUUUUUUUUUCUAGAAUACACCCAAUCAGGUGUAUCAUUGAUUUAUAGAAGAAGAAUUUGCUCCGAAGCGGCUACAUGCCCAAAGGGCCGACACACGACAUAACUAGCCGUUAUCUCUCCACUUUCUCGGGAUCGACCCGAAGCCUAGACCACUAAGGAGCCCAGCACGAAUCCAGGCCUCCGCCUCAACACUUAAGCCACUCAGAAAGGAAGCUAAAAGGACCGGGGCAUGGUCGAAGACCACCCUAUUCGUAAACCUCCAGACCGACCAGAAAAUCAGCGACGAGCUCGUAGAGAACUCCUUGCGAUCCUUGCCGGAGAGGGGGAUAGCCAACCACCAAUCAGAGAGAGUGGCCUCCGGCCCAGGCAUCCAUUCCACUUUUCCCCACUGAGCGAGGGCCUGCCACCGGACUUGUCUCACAAAGGAGCAGCCGAGGAGGAGGUGAGAGAUAGUCUCGUCCUCCUGGCCGCACAGAGGGCAGCUCUCCGGGUGAUCCAAACCGCGACAAGCGAGCCGGUCAGCCGUCCAGCACCUCCCACGACAGGCAAGCCAGGUGAACAGCUUGCAUUUAGCCGGAGCCUUAGAACCCCAGAUCAGCUUGGCGUAGUUGAAGUCCAAACGGCCCUCGAAGAACGCCAGGUAGGCCGAUUUGGCCGAGAACUUGCCCGUAGUCGUCCAACUCCACCGGAAGACAUCGUCCCCAGUGCCCAAUUGAACCCGCUGAAGUCUUUCCCAGAUAGCAAGGAACUGAGCCAGACCAGCAUCGUCAAGGUCAGGGUCCACAGCAGCCACCCAUCUAUUAUUGGCACAGGCCUCGGCCACCGAGAGGUCACCGUCCCGGUGGGGCGCGAUUUUAGGCGCAAGGUCUGAGAUGCGCCAACCGUCAAUCCAUGGAGGCAGCCACUUACUCUCAGUUUUUAAACACACAUGUUGCAAUGGCUUGCUGUUUGGCGGAAUUAUAUCUAUUAAAAUGUAUUGCCCAUGUUUCCCUGGCAGUGCGGACAUUUGGGUGAAAGUCGUUAGAUGCAUCCAAUUCAAUUAGAUUUAAGUCGACGAAUCAGAACCUUUGGAUUCAUAUCUGGAUCUCAUUUUACUCUUCUUUUUUAAUCAUCUGUUUCGAAUCUUAAAGCACAAAUCAUAUCCAACUGUUGAGAAAUCAACUUAUCUCUAACUAAAAAUCACUGAAAAUCAGACAAUUUAGAUAUAGCAAAACCGAUUCAAUUAAUAUUCCUUUAGUGGUACUUUGUAUUUUCUCAUAUGGAGACCAGGUUCAGCCACAUAUUCAAUUUCCCUUGUAUGCAACAUCCCGCAGCUUGAAUGAAACUGCAUGUGGGUACUUUGUGCACGCACAUGAACUACUUCCUACUUCAAUUCUUUUUUUCUUUGAGAGGACUUCAUUCAAUUCUUUCAAAACAUCAUAUGCAAUACAUUUCAGCAACCGGAAAAAAAAGUCGUCAGUGUGUACAAUAGUUUCUGUAUGCGACAGGGCCGUAAAUCAGGCAUCACGAUCUAUACCCUGUCCAAAGCUUUUACCUUUGUUAUUGCAAUCUCCGUAACAUUCCAAAAGCAUAUGCUCGAGUCGACGACGCUGUUGAUGUAGAGAAAUGCAGAUGGCAUACGUCGAGACCAUUAAAAGAUGGGAUAUAUAUGCAUCCUUCAUCUACGGGAGAAAAACACUGGAAGAAGAAAGUUCCAAAAGGACUAACUGGUGUGUUCCUGAUCGAUCAAAUGUCAGUUCCCUCUAUCUGCCUCGAAGGAUUUAAGCCUGUGUUCAAAACAUUUGAUAUUGGGCAAAAAGAGUACUCGGCCAAAAAGAAAAACACUAAGGCCCUCUUCUUUUGAUCAGUGCAGCCGACAGCUGAAUCAGAAGAGAAGGGACAACGAGCAGUGAGGCCAGGAGAAUGAAUCCCUUUUUGGAAAAGAAAAAAAAAGAGAGAAUAGCUAGCUAGGUGUAUGCUUAUGUAAACAUUAAAGUUCACAAAACCAUACUUUUUUGAGCUAGGUUUUAGUUACCGGACAACGGUUAUGACUACUGUCUUACAAAACCAUAGUUUUGAGACAGGCCUUCUGACAAGACCCAAUUCAGGUAAUUAAAGGUGUUUGACAGUAUUUCUGACAAAAGACCCACUGUCAGGCGACACGUCAGACAGACCGGUUUACAAACGUGUUGUACAUAAUUAUGUUUUUGCUGGCAUUUUGGCUUUGACUCAACACUUCCUGGGUGGGCAGAAGCUGGCGUGAACAAGAAAACGAAUCGACACGUUCUGCCCAAAAAACUGUGGUCAUGAAAGACUAUUCGUCCGGCUUUAGGAGGUGCUUUAGCUUGUGCACUUGUGCCAACGCAGCCCCGAUUGCUGGACUUUUGGAUCGAACUGACCCCACCUGCACUCGAUUCACGUACGUUUUCUAUUCCGUUGCCCAAUGAGCUGAGACUAAUACGACGCUGAUUCAUCGGCCGCCGCACGCGCUUCCCAUAUGUCCCGCACAACGUGUGCAAGGACGCUUCUUAUUGUUGGACUGGAUUGUUCAAACUAAGCGCCCAGGAAAAGCGGACGGAGGGAGCAGUUAUAACUGUGUCCGGUGAAACCUAACCCCAAGAAGUAUGUUUUUUAUGAAAUUAACUCUUCUACUCCCUCCGUCUAACAAAAAAUGUCUUAACUUUGACCAAGUUUGAAUGCAUCUAUACACUAAGUCAUGUCUAAGUACAAUCAAAUUUUGACAAACUUGAAACAUGUUUUGUUGAACAGAGGAAGUAUAAAAGAAGUUGGCUUUAUUUACGCAGUCUACAAGAAGUGGGUGGUGAUGAUAAUCGUUCCAUGUUCAGUUGGAAUAUGGAAGGCAAAUUGGGCAGGAUGCAAUCCACCAAACUAGGGACUAGUACGCGUCGUCCUCGCGCGAGAGCCGCCGGAUCUUUUCAGUGCCCGCCAACCGUCGUCAACGCAUCAUCUUUUGCAUGCAUGGCUUUGAUCAUGCAGGCUACGAAUUUACACACCUCCAUAUAAUUUCGAGCUCUGUAGUUCUGUUUUACAAAGAACAAAGAUCUGUCACACCAUUUGGGACGGCAGCGGUGCAAAAACGCUGCACCGGCAGACCGGGCACGUCGUGUGGUCGCGCAGCCACAGGUCGACGCAGUGCUGGUGGAACAUGUGCAGGCACGACGGCAGCCGCUUAACCAUCUCCCCAUUCUCCACCUCCCCGAGGCACACAGCGCACUCCGAUGCGCCGCCAGAUCGCCCUUCGCCAUCCUGCUGCUGCUCGUACGCUGGAAUGCCUUCCACGGUGGCCUGCCGCGCGCUGCCGUGCACCGGCGGCUCUUGGGGCAGCCCGUCUGCUUGACUACUUAUCUGCACCACAAACUCUGGCAGAGCAACGGAAGCGGGGCCGCCAUCCACGAUGCUCGGGCGCCCCCACUGACACGGUAGGCAGAGCAGCCGGCCAAUCCCGCGGAGGCACCACAGGGGCGUGCCCAGAGCCUUGGCCGGCCAUCUCCCCAUGGCCGCCAACCAUUGGUAGGACAGCUCGAAGAAGGCGUGUUCUUGGCAGAUUUUUGAGCUGACCAUGAACCAGACGAGGAGGACUAUGAAGACCACGGCGACACCGGCUCGCACGCCAGUGCCGGGCUCCAACAACAGAGAAAGAACACACAAAAAUAGAUCGACGUAGAACCAGAUUGCUCCAAUCAUGGAGAUGAUGAACAUGAUACCGAAGACCAGAAUAAACAUGCAGUCGAAGCAGUCUCCCAUGGAUGCCAGUGCCGGGCAUGUCCGUAGAACGGCGCUCAGGCACCGCAGCUUGGCAAGUUCGACGUGCUCCGACGGGCACGGCAGGCAGAGCAGCCGGCCGACCCAGCGGAGGCACCACAGUGGCGCACCGAUAACCUUGGCUAGGCAUCGCCCCACGGACGACCCUUGGUACUGGUAGGGCUGUUCGAAGAAGUUGCGCUUGCAGAACACUGCGCCCAACAUGAACCAGAAAAGGAGGCAGAAGGAGACCAUGGCGACACCGACUCCCGUGCCAGGCUCCGAUAACAGAACGACGAGCAUGCAGAUGAAUGUAGUCGUGCCGACGAUGAAGAGAAAACUAAAAAAGACCAGUUCAGGCACGAAGUCCAUUGAUGCGAGUGCGCUACGAGUAUAUAUCCUCUGUGUUUUAGGCUAGCUGUCUGUCAAAUGGGUAGCAAAGCUACCAUCUACACAAACUAAUUUUGCAUAUAUAGCGCUUAGGUAUGAAGGAUGCAUAUCUUAAUGAAUGGUCUCGACUGCCGGCGCGCUACAUCCGCAGCGUGGUCGACCAUAUGCUCUUGGAAUGGUGCGGAGAGUUCCGUAAAAGAAAAAAUGGUGCGGAGAUCGCAAUAGAUUGCAAUAACAAAGUAGAAGCUUUGGAAAGGGUAUUGGUUUCCACAAGACAAUCGUCAUGUUUGAUGUACGGCCCUGUCGUGUACAGAAGCUAAUCUACACGUUGACGACCUUUUUUCCGCUUGCUAGAAUGCAAUCCCUCUGUUCCUAAAUCACUACUGGAAAAACAGAAUUUGCUUUUUUUUGUUAGGUCAACCACACGACUUUAUUAACUCGCUAAUACUUGUUUACAAUUAGUCCGUAUACUGUGUGACAGAAAACUAGGAACUGACUCUAUCCAAUCUGACGACACGCCAUGCAAGACGGCAAACCUAGCACACUCAUGGGCUGCAAACUUAGCACCACGCCUAACAAAAGACACCUGAAAACUGAUAAAACAACGACUCAACUCUUCUAUCUGCAGAGAAUAGGAGCAAUCAAUGCUCGGUGUAAACAAUGCUUGUCCCAGGGACGAACCAGAUCUUCACAAUCUCAAAGAUAACUCUCGUGAAGUUUUUCUCCCUUGCCAAGCACACUGCGUCCCGUAGAACAAGGGACUCGACGAUCAGAGGGUUAGAGAUCCCCUGAUAUAUUCGACUCCGAGCUGCCACAAAUCCAUUAGCAUCUCUCGAGCCACACAACCACUUGCUGCUCGGCCAUCAACAUCACUAAUAGCGCCAUCGGAAUUGAUCUUGAAAACUCCAGCGGGAGGGCCAUUACAAGUACACGAUGUUCUGGGCUGUUUCAUCUUAUCCCCAUCCAUCUUCUACUCUGGGAGCAAAAUCGUCUCCAUGCAGUUUCAAUCGACUUGCCCGCAUCCCUUGGCAAAGACGCACAUAUGCUGAGGGCCAAGAGAAAAGCACUCGGCAAAAUCACAGCCCACCGUAGAGUGGGCGAGAGGCACUUGGCAAAGUGCUGGCCGAGACAAAUUAACAAGGGCCAGGUCACUUUGCAAAAUAAUAAAAAUACAGUCGGCAAAGAGCAGUCCACGCCAAAGUUGGUGUUCACGUGUCCCGGCCCGUCGUGGUUGAUGGAUGGAGAGAAAGCACAUUCAUCAUUGUCAAGCGUCUCCUGAAAGACACCCGGCAAAGACUCUUUGUUAUUUUUUCUAUUUCUCUCUUGGUUCAAAAUAGGAUGUCAACCAUAUAUUUUUUAGUUUAAAUUUUCAUUUAGCAUUAAUGGUGAUUAACUUGAACUAAAAUCACCACGUUUUUGUAAAAAUGAUUAUUUAUCAUUUUAGAAUUGUCUAAUAUGAAUAAUUAAAUACUCCCUCCGUCCCACAAUUCUUGUCUCAAAUUUGCCCUAAAAUGGAUGUAUCUAUUCCUAAAAGGCGUCUAGAUACAUGUAAUAUUCUGACAAGAAUUAUGGAAUGGAGCGAGUAAUACUUAAAGAUUGUCAAAAAAAAUUGCCGGCAUGGUUCCUUGUUAUGGAUAUAUAAGUGUUUCCAUAAAUAUGACAAGUUAAUGCACAAAUUUAUAUGCUUCACAAAAUGCACUAUUUAGAAGAAGUUUCCAAAUUUAGGAUUUAAACCUCCAAACUUAAAGUCUGAACUAAUUAAGUUUUGCAAUAAUUCGAUCACUAUUGAGUUGAAUUUUUUUUACUGGAGUUUCAUUUAGCAUUAAUGAUGAGUAAUGUGAAAUCGCCACUUUUAUUUACCAUUAUCUAGAGUUCUUUAAUGGGAAAAAAUAAUAAUACAUAAAAUCGCCACUUUUAUUUACCAUAUUAUGGCUAUAUAAUAUUAGGGUAAAUAGGACAAGUCAAUAAACAAAUUUAAAUAUGAUACUAUCUUGCCAAGCAAAUACACGCAAAAAUUUAAAAGAAAAGAAGAAACGUUUGCCUUACCAAGUCUAUCGAGGAUCCCAACACUCGGCGAAAACGAAGAGCGGCAAUCGACAAAGCUUCGCUAGUGCCGCAUCUAGGUCGUCCACGAGUAUCCACGACCGACGUCGAUCCAUGCAUCACGUCACCUCACCGAUCCGGGCGACAUCACGAUGGAUCGACCCCCCAUCCCAUCCUCCUCCUCAGGAAAAUAAUUUUUUGCUAUAUCAACAGCUUCAAUGUCAGAUGAAUAUUAUUACAUGCAUCGUAAAAUAUAUUUUCGUAGUUCCUGCUUUUACACUGUAUACGUUAACAAUUUUUUUGCAGGCAAUCAACGGGAUGGGAAGGGGGGGGGGGGGGAUUCCCCACCACUAUAUUAUUACUUCAAAGAACCAGAGUAUUACAAUAGGGGGGGGGGGGGGGCAUAGACACGCCACAAGCGGAUGACUACCUUUUUUAAUUGCAUUUCAAUCCAAAGUUCAUAGAAACUACCUAGUGACUACCACCGAAGAAGCGAUCUCCGACAUGCACGAGAGGAGUGCCUUCGACGUCCUCGAAGGGCAAACCAUUGCCGAGUCAGUAUCAGUUACACAAUCUCCACCCGCUUGGUCGGUGGCUGAGUGGAUCCGAGCACCAACAAGUCUACGAGUGUUGUUACCCAGUGUAUCUAGUCGAAGGGCGUCACAUAGGAAGAAGAUGGAAGCCAGCAUAGCUAAGCAAAAUCGACUAGGGAUGUCUCCCCAUUCCAUAAACAUAACCUCAACAAUGGACCAAGAGUAAAGAAGCAACACCUUCGAAAAGGAAAAAAUGAUGCCUUCCAAAAAAGAAAGAAGGAAAAGAUGCAAUAACGCCUUCCAAAAAAAAAGAGAAGGAAAAGAUGCAAUAACGCCUUCCAAAAAAAAAAGAAGGAAAAGAUGCAAUAACGCCUCCACCGUCGAUCCGUGACACCGGAUCUGGGGUUUCCCCCAAACUCAUGGAUGCUCUGAUGGAAUCCAAAACAGACGGCCUCCAAGGAGUUGAACGGCACCCUCAAGAGUCACCGCGUCAUAGGCACAGAAGCCCCAGAUUUCUCCGCUAAUUCCAAGAACCGAGCACAUACUUCGUCGUAUUGGAGCAAAGGAAGCGCAUCAUAGCAUGGCAGCCCAGAAAAAUGGCCAGAUCCGACGGCCCAGACUAGAAGCGGCGCACGAACACCAGCCCACAACGACAGUUGCCCAGCUUGGAUCUGAGGUGCAGACCAGUGCCCCGCCUCCCCCACCAGACAGAGGCACGCUUGAAGCUGGAUUUGGAUGAGAAGGGGCAGGCGACCUUCCUGUCCCUGGCUGUCACCGGAUCAGGACGCCUCAGAGCGACGGAAGGCCCGCAGACUGUAGUCCAUCGCGGGGAGAUGACGACAACCUCGCCUUGGGAGGCGGCGGCCAGGGGCGGAGCCGGGGGGGAGCGAGCAGGGGUCAGAUUGUUACACCCUAGCCUGUUCCGGUGGGAGUUGUUGCCGGAGACAAGCUAGACGGCGGCGCCGCCAGACUAAGAUAUCGGGAGAGAGCGUUGUUUCAUUUCUUUUCAUCGAUAACGUUCUCAGGUUAGCAAGCUACCUCUUAGUAGUCAAAGCCCAACAGCCUCCUCAGGCCCAAACGCUAAGUUACAUACUUAAAGAAACUGGACAGGCCAAGCAAAACUGAAGACAAUUAAACUGUACUUGUUGCAUCAGACGGAGGCUCGUCAGAUGUAACAUUGUCCCACCCACCCCUCCCCCCUUGAGAACCAGCUGGUCUCCAGGCUGGGGCAUCCAGGGAAACUGGACUUGAGCACCUCGUAGUCCUCCCAUGUUGAAGAAGUAGCUGGAAGAGUAGUCCACUUGAUUCUGACUUGAAGAUAGGCCUUGUUCCCUUUUUGAUCAGACGGCGUUCGAGAAUUGCUUCAGGAACCAGCUCAGCAGCGUCCAACACAAUUGGGUUUGGUAGUUCAUUUGACUCUGCUGUAUACUUCGGAAUGAAUGGUUUCAAUUGCGAAAUGUGGAAAACUGGAUGCACCAUGCUAGAAAGUGGCAACUUGAGUCGGUAUGCCACUGAUCCAACUCGCGCCUCCACUUCGAAAGGCCCAUAGAACUUAUAUGAAAGUUUAGGACAGGGACGACUCACCACUGAGGAUUGUGUAUAUGGUUGCAGUUUAAGAAGAACCUUGUCACCCACUUGAAAAGAUCGGUCAGUACGAUGACGAUCUGCCAUAUUCUUCAUGCGAAGACGAGCUCGCUCCAGGUGGUUCUGCAAGAAAACCGAGUGCUGGUGACGCUCCUGGAGCAUAUCUUGUACACUGUGAUCUUGAAUCGAUGUCAGAUCAGGCAUGAUGCCGUACGAUGCAUCGUAACCAUAAAUCCACCCUCCAAAAACCACACCUUUGACAGCAGCCCCCUACACAGCAAAGGAAUUAACCCCAACAAUCAUACCGUAGGAACUAUAGCCUCGAUAUCUCCACUCCGUUAGCCGAAGCAGCAAGAGCCAUCAGCAUAGGAACUCUUCCAUAUGCUGCCAUUUGCUCAUAACUAAAACCACAUAUCACAAAACCAUAUUUUUCUGAAAAUGAACUAUAGCCUAGAACAAAGUCUACUCCCUAAGCAAAAAUAUACAAAAAAAAAAUCCUCUCAACACUGCAAAUCCUAGCAGUCGAUAGGCCAGAUUAUACAUCAGUCAAAUUCCAUGCUCAUCAAUUUCAGACAGGUAUGGCACACGCGACACAUGACAACUACAGUAACCACCAUCAACAUAAAUAUAUAAAUAGAGAACUUGGAUUUAAUAACAAAGAAAAAGAUUUAACAACUACAGUAUCCGGCCACGCCCCUUGCCUUCUGGUGCUCCUUCCUCUACAUGACCAUGCCCGUGCAACAUGGAAGGUACUCUUCAUUGAAUGACAUAGAUUUCAUAUAAGCUAUAGAUAUGCUCAAAGAAUGAGACAAUCUGAAACUAAACGGUGGCUACAUAUGACCUUAAUAAGAACAAAGGUACAAUUUAAUCUACGAUGCUUCAUUUUGGGUAAACUAUGUUCUCUCACUUCCGUCAAAUUCUGCUGUGAACUAAGCAUGAUAUAGGAGGAUUUUUUACCACAACAAUAAAAAUCUAGAUAAAUCAAAAGAAAACUGAUCAAUACAAACCUUCUUUGGAAAGUGAAAAUCGAAGUUGCAGAGAGAAUGUGCUUGCAUAAACCAUCAGAUUUUUUUUACCAAAAAAUAGAACUGAUUGAAAUCGUAGAAGCAGAUAACCUGGAUAUUUAUUAAAAUAUGACAUGGUCAGGUGGCAGCUCACCUUCUCGUGCCUAAUCUCUUUAAACUGGAUCCACACACUUGCCUCAAACUUGACCCAUGGCUCACAUUCUCAGUGUCGUGAACCAGUAGAAGAAUGUUAGACAUGCCAACCUAAGUCAGUAAUAAAAAUAGCACAUUAUAUUGAAUUACUUUUCACAUCACAUAACCAGGUAAAGAUCAGUAGAGAGAUAGGGACAAAAAAGCAACAAUGUAAUCAACAAUCACAUAUCAUGUUUUGCUUUCCAAUUAUUCAACUUCCAAAAAGCUAGAUAAAAAGUAGCAUUGCAUCUUUUCUUAUCAACAUGAAUAGCAGGUACAAGCUCUAUUUUGGCAUUGGCAUUGGCAUUGCAAAUAGCAGAAAAUGCAAGAUUUUAAUUUUUUUCCUAAGGUCAGCAUUACAGGAUCAAUCACUAUCUGUUGUUGCAUGUAGUUCAAAAUAAGACAUUAGAAUUUCCUCGAUGUUACAGUACAUAGUAACUAAAAGCUUUUGCAUUGAAUUCAAUUAAUUAUUUUACUCUUCUUUUGAUUGGCUUUCUAAGAUUCAAGGAGACAUAUGCUUGUUCUGUUGUUGGCUUAUUACUCAUUACAAUUGGUUCUAGAUAUUUAUUCUGGUUCUCACAGUUCAAUAAAGAAUAUUGUUCAGAUUCACUGAUCUGUGCCUUGUAACUGGCCCUCACUACAUGAUCAUAAUGUAGGCUUGUAGGAGCAGUAUUUCCUUUCAACCUCCUCAUUAGAAGCGUUCCGAUAUUAUCCACUUUAAAGAAUCAAACCAAAGAGAGAAAAUGAUUAUUUACUAUAAAGAAUCAAAUCAACAGAGGGCAGUUAAAUAGUCUGACUACAUGCAUGGAAGAUCGAUCUAAAACAAAAUAACUAAAAUGAGCAGAGCACGCACCGAUCAUAUUACCACAAAUUAAUUAAACCUUUUUGAACCCGCCUUCCUGCACACGCCGACAUUGAUGGACUGGUCAUCAAGCGGUCCUUCCCCUUCUUUGGCGAAGACACCAGUCUACAGCAAUUCCUCCUCGGAUACGGCAAUGUCAAUAGCGAAUCGAACUUGUAAAUUAACAACAGAAUGAGAUACUACCGAGUUUCAAGAAAGGAAGAUGGAAGGAGUAGGAUGCAGUUGUGCAGGUGGGGAACGGGGCUGUGUGAAAGUAUAAUAAAACAAAUUUAUAGACUCUACUUUUUUUGACAAAUGAGUAUGCACAAUCAAGGAGUAACAUACAUGACAGAGAGAUUAUUUGUCCAUCAUCGCAUGAGUAUGGCUUUCCUAUGUUACAUUAGAGGGACAUGGUGAAAUCUAACAUGAAGUGUUACCUGACAUGUAGCAUCCAAGGUUCCAAUAGAUAGAUUUCAUUAAAAAUCCUGAACUGUAGCAUCAAAGUUUCAGUAGAUAGAUUUCAACUUACCUGACAUUACUAAGUUCAUCAUUGAUACUUCAAUUACCACAUUAAGUUCUUCCAAUGAAUAUGGAUGCUCCGGGUCCUUUACAUCUCUAAUCUGAUGUAAGAUUGUAAAUGAGUACAAAAUUAUUAUGCUAGCAGGACCCCGGAUUAAUAACAUAUACCAUGAAAGCAAGCUACACCUACAUACAUGCAGAAAAACCAAGAAAGAGGAUAUAAAAUAUUUCUAGCUGGUCUAUAGGCUCUGCUGCAUUUUCAUAUGUAUUUUCUAGUGGCAGCCAAAUGCGCCUCUCUUUUUUUCUCAUGAACCACAGGGUUAGCAUUUGACAAUUCCAUGACCAUUUUCCUCUGCAAGACAACUAAUUUGGAUAGGACGGACAAAAUCCUGCAGGUUAAAAGCACAAGAAUUGUCAAAUGGUAAUUCCUGGUUGCAAAUUGUGUCAAGUGGAAACUUACACUGUUUCUGCAGGUUCCAAAAUUUGAAUAAGACUGACAGACUGAUAAAAGCUAACGUUAUCUUAGGCUUUCUAUAUCUUUCCCCACUUUUUGACAGUGAAUUUGUUAACUUAUCCUAGAUACAGGUUACAGCAAGAUAAUAUUUUGUGCCCUCAAACAAGUACACGAAAAUACUCAGCCCUUGCUCCCUCCUUCAGGAGCUUCCAUACCCUGUCCAGACGAACACUGUGUUCCCUCUGUUUCUCUCUUACAUCUCUUACUCUCCAGUAAAAAUAUUAUUUGAUUUUUCGACACAAAGAUUGUUCAUUCUGAACAAAAUAGAUUGGCCCUUCCACUUUAAACCUAGUAUUGGAUUCUUCACAAUACAACAAUAAUUUACCUGGCAUGUAGAUUCUGGCAAUACAACAUUAUAAGAAUUCACAAUCGAAAUACUUCAUACAAUCUCCCUCUCCUCCAUUCCACUCAACCAAAACAUCUAAAGAACCUAAGGUUCAAUAAAUUUUCGCUUGUCAGAUCUAAGUUCCCACAAAGAGAAUCGACCCCCCUCUACUAAAACAGAUUUCCAUCUACAGAACUCAUAGUUCAAGAAAUUUCUCACAAAUCAAAUCUAAGGUUCCCAAAGAGAAAAACAGGGGGAUAGGGAGUGGAGAGAGGAUACCCUUACCUGAAUCGCUUGCCGUCGCCUGGAUGUCAGAGGUCGUUACCGGCCGGAUUCCUUGGUGCGGCAGUGCCUGCGUCAUCCAACAGAGAUGCAGGGGUGUUGAGCGAAAAUCAAGGAGGGAAGUGCCUAGCGAAUGGAACAGAGAGGUGAGGCGAGGUUCAAGGGCGAGUCAACGUUGAAAUCCCGCGAAGGACGGCGGCGGGGAUCAGCGCCGAGGCUCGUCUCCUUCCCACCGCCGCACGCCUCAUCUCCUUCCAACGGUCGUCGUGACUCACAAGCCUCCCAUCAAGCUGGAGGCAGAAAUAUCUCCGCGCUCUACGCGGCCGGCCAGGGGCUGGAGCCUCGAGCACCGACAUCGUGGAGGAAGAUCUGCAGGGCCAGGGGACGGCGGCGGUUGAGGAUCCGGACAGCAGGUGCUGGGCGAGGACGACGGCCGGGAGCAGAGCAAGGCCGAGGGUGCCAGAAGCCCAGAACACACCCGAACACACCCCCGAACCGAUCACUUUCACACGGGUGAUUUCUUCGCCCUUUCACAGGGGUAAAGAUAUGCUUCCAUGUAUCUGCGGUAAGAUUUAUGUGCCUUUGACGAUCGGAUUUCAUGUAUACUAGCUUUGUACGCUGCGCCGUCGAUCACUUGAUCACCUUGUUGCCAUAUUUUUGCUUCUUCAUGGAUCACCUACGAUUCGUAGUUCUAGAUACAGCUUUGCCGCGCCGCUAAUCGAUGCUUUUCUAUUUGAGCUACACCACUUGGUAGGUCUUUUCGUUUUGUCUUUUUUUUGUUCAGGUGGUAGUAGAAGAAGCAAGUCAUUAAACAUCAAUUCAUUUAUGGAUUUUGUCUAACUAUAAGCAGGUUCAUCAAGGUCUCAUGUCCCAGAUGAAAACAUUGUAUGUCACAUAAUGUAUGAUAGGUAGAAUGGAAAAUAAACUUUAUUAGGCCGAAUACAACCACUUGGAUAACACUGUAAAAAAAAUGCGAAAUACAAACCUAGUCUGACUCCUGACACUUUUCAAAAUACCAUGCUGGACACUAACACCUUGGUAUGUUUUCUACUAAAAAAAUGAAGUAAAAUCUGAUGUGGUUGCAUUGCACAACUGCAUCGCUGGGAAGAUCUAACAAAUUACCUAGAAAUAAAAUAGCCACCUCAAGUGAUUUUGCAUACAGAUCCUAAUGACUUGUACAACAACAAUGUAACUCUUCUUUCUUGGGAGAACACAACAGUGGAGCUGAAUUCUUUUACCCCCAUGACACAACACAAACUCAUGACAUAUGGUUUCAUGAACCAAUAUGAACCCUCAGGGAGUAGCUUGCAUGUUCUUCCCUUACUACUCCAUGCCCACGGGGUACAACUCCCUCUGCAUUUGUGUACUGCAACAACACCCACAUGCAAGAAUACAUGAAUGCAAAUACAAUAAUGUUUAAAUUCAAUAGAUACAAGAGAACGAAUCGAUAAGAAAAUUGGUUUGCUUCUUAAUAAAAGAAGAGAUAUUUAAUUCUGAUCUAACCCGCAAGAUCAAGAUACACCAUGAACAUAUAUCAGGAUUGAAAUUGCGCAGAAAUUGACCCCGUGCCAUGUUGCCAUGAUUCUAGUCAUGAACCUGGACAUCAUGCAUGUGAUAGAUCUUAUCAGGGACAUAAAAACCUAUUUGUUCCUUAGAGAAAGGACGAAAACAAAAUUAGUAGUGAGCCACAAGUGUGUGAAUUCAAAACUAAAUGAUGAUGGAUUUGUCAACAAACCUACAAUCUCUCGGUUCACAUAAAUAUGUAUUUUCCUUCUAUAUAUUUUUAAAAGAAGACAUUUAUUGACGCACACAGCCUAAUAUAAUUCAUUAAAUUUCUUAGUAAAGAGUUGUUUUAUAGGUGAAUGAUAUCAUUGUGUACAAGUGUAUUAAUCAAAGUAGCCGCAUACAUCGCUAGCACUCUGAGUUUUACAAUGAGCAGAUUUAACCAAGAGGGUAACAAAGAUGUGCUUGCUCUUCCUCCCCAGGAAGUUUCAGGCGCUCCAUGCCGACGGUUUCUGUAGCAUCAAACUUUUGUCACAAUGGAGGUAUAUAUCAAUGAAAUAUUAAUAGUUUGGAUUUUAAAAGAAAAGAAGACAGUAAUAAUAGCAUAUAUCAUUUUUCCUGGAAAUAAUAGUACGGAGUAACAAUUUAUAACAAAUACUACCUCCGAUUUUAAAUUGUUGUUAAAAUAUUACGUGUAUCUAGAUGCUUUUUAAGAAUAGACACAUCCAUGUUUGAGCAAAUUUAAGUUAAGAAUUUAGCAUCAGUAGCAGACAAAACCACUUGCAUGUAGGCAAGCACAAAGAAUUCUCAAUUCCUAGCAUGUUGCUUCAUCUCCUAGCGCAUCUCAAAAUUAAUAUAGCAUCCGGCGCUAAUCAAGGAAGAAGUAACAAAUAACAAGACAGCUUAUAAACUCUCAGGUCAAUGGAUAUCAACCAAUACUGUCAACUAAUACUAAUUAUCUCAUUGCUUGCUUCUACUUGUUAGAUUACCCUAACACGAAUUAAAUGACAAAAGUAUUCACUCCCACGAGCAAUUGGGUUCUGGAAAUAAAAAGCUUGCUGUGCACAUAACAUUGAGGUGACAGUAUACAUAGUUGCAGAAUGAGCACUUGUACAGGAAAAAAAAUCAAUCUCAAGGGGAGAUGUAACAGCAGCUAUCACUUCGGAGAGUGUGUCCUGGCUUCCAUUGCGAUCCAGCCAGUUUAAAAUGGCAACAUAAUGAAUAUUUUGGUGUAAACUGCUGCAAGGUAAAAAGGAUAUAAGAAUCCAACAUCAACCUCUUGAACCAGCAAAGCGGAAAUAUCUAGUUACCUCUUUUGAUGGAACUUAUGGAACUUAUAAGACUUUUCUGUCAAAGAAAUAGAGCUUCUCACAGGCUGGCAAAUAUACAAAAGUAAAUAACCAAUCAACAUUAUUUAAAUUUAAAUUAACUUCAAAACGUAGAGAUAUUGGCUACAAGCCUACAACAUGAUUGCUCAAUUAAGAUCCAACGAUGGGAAUAUUGAAGGGCAUGCGGCCGAGAGAAGAGAAACAGAGUACUGUGCAACAAGGCCUGAAAAGAAAUAGAUGAAAGAUAAACCUGAAGAGAAACCUGUCAGCUAAGGGGAAUUCCCCACUCCAACAGGCAAAACAAUGCCGUGCAUGCAGCAAAAAAGAACAAAAAAUCAAAACUCAGCAACACGUCCGGCAGAACUCCAGGACUGAAGAUCGUCUAAAAACAACAGAAACUCAAAACUCAGCAACACAGCCGGCAGAUCUCCAGGACUGAAGAUCAUAGAGGAUCAACUCAAACACCAUGUCAACAAUAUUAAUUAACCUCCUGCUGAAAGAUGUGGGCGUUCCUUUCCUUCCAAAUUCUCCAGUGGUAAAGGUAUCAAAAUCAGUGCGAAGAUGCUUCGGGGCUCUUUUCCUUGCCACAGCCCAUAGUCCAACGAUGGGAAUUUCAAGAAGACAAAAUCUAGCAUCCAGAAUCAUGAAUCAAAAAAAUUAGAGUCUAAAAUACCAUGGGUGGAGUCUGCAGCUUGCCGUUGCAGGAACUUGGGGAGGGGUACCAGCGCGUGAAUUGUGGUAUUCCUAUUACGCCCUGCUCGUCGGGUUGCAGCGGACACGAUGGCUGGGAAAGCGAGGAGGCGGAAGUGGGUGCCGUUUAUAGGAGGGUGAACACCGUGACGGCGGAUUCAUACAAAGAGAAUGGGGGAGCAGAUUGAGUACGUGGUGGCGCAACUAAAAUUAGCAAAUAAAGGUGCAAAAGUCCUGGGAUGCAAUUCAAGUAGGGGACAUCUGCAAAUGCGUCUGGUUAUAUGUCAGAUUGCGCAAAAUCAAUUGACCAUGUUGUGACCAAACAUCUCUAGAAACAAGCAUACAUAGCCGGGCAAAAAAAGAAGUGUACCUGUUCAUUUUUUUUCCUUACGACCUCUUGAGUCCGGGUUCCACUAUAAGAAAGAUAAUGGAACAAAACAGAAAGGUUCACCCACACACAGAGUUCGCACACACUUUCUGCCCACGGCUAGCAAGAACGCACCCGAGUUGUCAAGCAACAAAUGAAAGUAAAGGAAGUACCACUGUCGUCUAUUACAGACGAACAAGGUCGUCAACAAAAGCUCACAGAGCUAGAAAGUUUGAAACUGACAAGUUCAAGCCCCCCCCCCCCCCCCCUCUUUUUCAUAGCACCUGGUUCCUGGAUCAGUUCGCCUCCUCACCAUCAUCCAUGAUACUUGUUAAUCUCUUCCUGUCAACCGCAACUUGCCCAGGGUGUUGUCGCAGCGCUUCUUCCUGCAAGAUCCUAGCUCCUUCACGCAAGGCAUCUCCAUCACCACCAGUCUGAAGGACUGCCCAAUAUUUCAGAAACGCACAGGCAUAGCAUAUCAAUUCCGCGGGAGAUCAAAUCAGUCGGUGCUCAAAACAAGCUCUGUUUCGUAAUUUCCAUAUUGCCCAACAAAUCCCUGCCAACCCAACUAUAUGUAGAUUACAACUGAGUCUUAAAUGACUCGAGAUCCAAUGUAAGUAUUGUGAAAAGGAAGAUGGUCUAGUGCCAGCCCCAAUAGCAACACCCACAAUCCCCCAGGUGUAUUUAGCCGCGUCACAAGUAAAGAAAAGGUGAUGAAUUGUUUCAUUGUUUGGACAAAAACGAUAGGUGAUAUCGCCAUGUCAUUUCCUACGAAACAUAUUAUCUUUGGUCGCAAUGGCAUUAUGCCAAAUCAGCCAUAAAUGAUGGAAGGACCUGACAGAGCCCUGAUUAGCCAGAAGAUUAUACAUGGAUUUGACAUUGUAUUUACCAUUCUUAGACCAUAUCCAAACAGGUCUAUCCUCUUCCCCAUUCACCCCCAUGCACAUUAGUUUGGAAUUCAGUCUGGUGUAAUCAUAUUGACAGCUCUAAUCAAGCCACCUCCUGAAAGUGAGGCGCCAACGUCUAGCAACUAUAUCAGCCACAGAACAUCCAAUAGCAUCUGAUGUACUAAAGAGACUGAGGAAUUGGUCUUUCAGUGGAGUAUGACCACACCAGGAAUCACCCCAGAAGUCAGUUCUUCUCCCAUUGCCUACUAUCAUCACCCUCCCCUUCAGAUAUAGUUCUCUAAUAUGAAGCAGAUCCUUCCCACCAGGAGAAUCAGAUUGUUUCCCUUUGAUAUUGUGAAUAGAUUGGCAUAUACCAGAUUCAGCCUCUAGCUUCCACCACCAUUUAUAGAGUAGGCUAAUAUUAAAUAGCUCCAGAUUCUUCACUCCCAAACCACCCCUAAUUUUAGGUUUGCAGAUCAAUUGCCACUUGACUAAGUGGUACUUCCUUUUGAGACUACCCCCCUGCCACACGAACUUUCUCCUGAUCUUAUCAAGUUUCUCUAGAUUGGUUUUAGGGACCCUGUGCAUAGAAAGGUGGUACACUGGUGUUGCAGACAGGCAAGCAUUCAGCAGAGUAACUCUCCCCUCAAUUGAUAGAGCCCCCCCUUUCCAGCCAGCCAACUUCUUCUCCAUUUUUUCUUCCAGAAUAGACCAAUGUACCUGUUCAUUGCAGAUUCAGGUGGGCCUCUAGCUUCCCAUGCCAAAAAAAUUGGACAACAUAACAAGAUCCAUCUAACCGUCAUACAUGUACAGCCCCUGCAUGCCAAAUAAAAACAACACUAGGCUAGCUGAGUGACAAAAUCCAUGGAAUGAACUCAAAAUGCCUUGAUCUUUAGAUACGAACCAAAGUACAGGUUUACAAUUCCAGUCAAAGGCAAAUGCAAUGGCAUUUCAUUUGACAUCCGAUUGCGCAUAGUGGACUAAGUGCAAUUGAGAAAAAAGAUCAGAACCUGAACAGGUGGAAUUUGUACAUAGAGUUGAAGAUAUGAUUCACAAAAUGCAGUUAGCGGCCAAUAAAACUACUGGAGAGCAAUUCCGGUAUCAGAAACAAAAUUGGCAAAAAGGUGUGAUGCAAUUCAAGAAGGAGGCAGCUGCAACUGCACUCUGAUCACAAAAUAAACUACAUGCAAUUGACCUUGUUGUGACCAAAAAGCAAAGUCAAAAAAUUAAGGGACAAAAAAGGUGUGAUGCAAUUCAACAAGGAGACAGUUACAAUUGCACUCUGAUUACAUACCAGAUCGCGCAAAUGUAACUACAUGAAAUUGACCUUGUUGUAACCAAUAAACAGUCAAAAAUUAGGGGACAAAAAGGUGUGAUGCAAUUCAAGAAGGAGGCAGCUGCAAUUUCAUCUGAUUACAUACCAGAUUGCGCAAAUGGAACUACAUGCAAUUCAAGAAGGAAAAAGCUCAUAUGAAAAUCCAGAAUCAAAUCAUACUAGUUGAGAAAUUACUCUUCUGCAAUUUCUCACAAAUGCAAUUGCAACUCCUAUGAAACCCGAUUGUGCAUUGUAAGCUACAUGCAAUUGAGAUGCAUAUACAAACGGGGCCAGAUUUUGGUUCAUUUUGCCUAUGAUCCACGGUAGAGUAAGUAACAAAGUUGGGACAAAAAGAGACAGAUUCAGCAUCUGGGCGUAGAGCUGGACAAAAAUCAGAAUCGACACAUACGCCUUCACAAUUACUCGUGUGCAAUCACAAUAAGGAAUAAAUGGCCUGGUUUUGUUAGAAAAUAUUAAUGUAGCCCAAUACUGCAGUGGACAUGCCCGUUAGCCCAUUUAAUAACUUGGCUCUGUAUUAUGGAACCCAAGAAAAAAAAAAGAUCAAGGAGAAGAAAGACACAACGCCUCGAGACAAGGCAGCUCACAAAAACUAGAGAAGAAACACAAGAGAAGAAGGAAGAAACUCAGGGGGACUGACGGCCGAUCAAGGCAUAUGGAUAGUAACCUCAACAUGCAGACGCCAAGGUAUUUGUCCUUGCUCCCUCCCCUGUUCUUACCCCCAUACAUCGUUGCAGCAAAAUAAGGGAAAACAAAGGUUGAUCAGAUCAAUUGUAUAUAUCAAACGCGUCAUCGUUGUCAUUGCUAGGAUUGUUGCUGACGUCAAUUGACCAAUCAAUUGAAGUGAUACUAGAUGAUGCCCCACACGUUGUUGCGGAAAUUUUUAGUUAACAUAAAGAGUAUUCAAAAUUGAAAACAUAUAAUAAAAUUGUGCAUUCUUCACUUAGUUGGAAUAGCUUGAUGCAAGUAACAUGCAUGCAUGUGCAAAAGUAUGAGUUUUCCAGUAAAUAGGUGUGAACAAAUUAAUCAUGUGAUGAUGUGGCAUGCUUCAAUGUUUAGAGAAAUCAAAUAGUGAGUUGCUUCUACUUAGAUAUAGAAGAUUAUGAGAACAACGAUACCGAUUCUUGCCAAUACAUAACAAAGCGUAUUUGGGGGCAGUGUACAGCUUCCAUAUGAGGUAACAUGCCCCCGACACCCAAACCCCACCUCAUAACCAACUUAUGUUUGGUCUGAUACUCUGAUUACUGCACAUCUACAGAACAGCAGCACAGAAAAGUUAACUGAACAUGAAACAUCAAAAAUUGAUCUAUGCUAAUUCUGUUAAUUAUCUUCAGGCUGUAAGCAAAAUCUCUGCUUGUUCCUGGAAUAUCUACAAUUUUUGCUUAUGCAGAGUAUCUAUUACUCAAAUGGGAUUGUUCCAUGUUAGCACUGGCAUCCAUUAAAACCACUUGAGCUGUGUUGUAAGCAAAAUUCAAAACAUAUUUAAUAAACAAUCUAUAUGACAAAAAACAUUGAAUACAAAACAAACUAUGAUAUUUCAAGGAACAAAUUGACACUUACUGACAAGGUUCUCUGCUUACCUAAAGAGCUAGAACCACCAAUUAACAUUCAAAUGAAGCAUAUAAAUGACCGAAUGAGAUCAAAAAUCACCAACAAUUUUAGUCAAAAUAACAUGUCAUAUCCUUUAUCGCAUUUUGCCAUUGCAAGUCAAAGGACAGAUCCACAUCAUAUAAUCUAACAUCAAAGAAUCUGCAUGAACAGCAAGCAGGCCUUGGAAUGCAACACUUCCUAGGUAGAGCUCAAAAUAGAGCAAAAUCAACGAAGGACUCACCGGAAGAGGAGCAGCAGACUCCACCGUCGACGAGAUGAGAAGGAAAACGCGCGCCUCUGCUGCCUUCGCCUCGCCAAAUCCACCCCAAACGAAAAAACAGAGAAAAAUCAAAGGAAAAAAUGUGAGAUUAAGCAAGCUGAAACAGUCAUUUCGCUCGGAAAAACUCACCAUGCGGAUCGACCAAGCUCGCCGACGACGAACAUAUGUCAAAAUCGCCUCACAUCUCCCUGUGUUCACCUCAUGAAGCAAAAAAAGUGAGAGGGGAAAACACGAGCAAAUGGACCACGGCAACCACUUGAGAACACCAGAACGGAAAGGGGGUCUCACCGGAUGGGGCGCGCCACCCACGAGCAAAGACUCCGCCGCCGACGAAGACUCCGCCACCCAAGAGCUCAGAAUGGCCUCUCCGCUUCACCCUCUCCAGAAUACUUGAGGUCACACAACCCAGGAAGAAGACAACCGGGGUGGGAGCAAAAAAGAAAAAAAGCAGCCCACCAAACAGUCACGGAUCUUGAUGCAUGCAUCAACGGCUUACAAAAUCGACUGGUUUUCUCAAAAAAAAAAACAGCCACCUCGUGUAUUGCAAAACAGAUUUUUUUUAAUUCAUUUCACAAUUCACACUGCAUUCUGCAUCUAGAGAGCCCACCUCGGGCAUCUGGGUUUCAAUCCACGACUCCUUUGGUAACCAUCAUUUGGAUAUAGAAUUGUAGAAUUCAUUUUGAAUUUAGAAAACAACUUGUUUGGUUGGCACGAAAUUAGCCAAAGGAAUUCAAUCUCAAAUUUCAUGGAACCACAUUAUAACUAGUCUCAAUUCCUCUAUAAAAACCAUCAUUUCUCUAGAAUUGUCUUUCACUCUUCAAUUCCAUGUGGUAUAGACAAACGUGAUUUUUCGACCCGGAAUUCAAAUUAACCAAAUGAAAUACUAUCAAAAAUUGGAUUUUGAUCAAAUGAAAUGAAUUCUUAGUUGCCAAACGAGUGCCAGUGAAAUCAUGAUGGCAAAGGAACCUUUCCUAUCAAACAUUGUUCACAUUUCCUUUGUCAAAAGGAAAACAUUCAAACGAAAACAUCUCCUAUGGAAAUCCUCUGAACCAAAAAGGGAGUUGCGGCGACAUCGAAAUGACAAAGAUCAAAGAUGUCACACUCACACACACCAUUUGGGAGGGCAGCGGUGCAAGAACGCUGCACCGGCAGACGGGCCGGGCACGCCGUGUGUGGUCGCGCAGCCACAAGUCAUCGCCCCCGUCCAUGUUGGGUUUAGAUGCCUCAAGAUCAAUCACAUGAAGACUCACACGCUCACACAAUAAUCACUGGAUUAUGGCCAAAGGCACCUGUCGUGUUUUGUUUUUAUUUCUUAUUACAAUAUCUCUUACAAGUUUGAUACAAACCAACCACAUACACAUGUAUAUAUACGAACCACAGAAACCAAACCAAACCAAUUAGGACUCAACAUAGUUGUCCUGGUCCAACUCUAACUAGUACUUUAGUAACUCUAAUCCUAAACUCACACACGCCAGCGCUCCUAAUCAUAUUAGGACUCCUACUUACUCAAGAUUAUGCUAACAGUCCGAUCUCUGCCUGGCGUAAGCACACCGCGCACCCCGACGCGCCGCCAGCUAGCCGUCCGCCCUCCUCCUUCUCCUGCUGCUCGUGGUCUCUCACGGUGGAGGCCUCACGCGCGCCGCCGCACACCAGCGCUUCCUUGGCCGCCUGGGGCAGCGAGCCUGCUUGAACAGACUGCGGCAGAGCAACGGAAGCGGAGCCGCCGGCGCCGUCGACGAUGCACAGGCACCGCAGCCUGGCUGCUGCGGCGCGCUCCCACUGGCACUGGCACCGCAGGCGCGCGCCGAGAGCCUUGGCAACGCAUCGCCGCAGCUCCGACCGGUGGUAGGCGAAAUCGAAGAAGGUGCGGUAGCAGAUUUUUGCGCAGCACAUGAAGCAGACGACGAGGAAGACGGAGACCACGGCGGCACCGACUCCUAUGCCGGGAUCCGACAAUAGAUCCAUGCGAUGCGACCGACGGCGCGUUCCGUGUAUCGGUAGCGCCUACGCAAACUGAUUUCGUGUGAAGGAUGCAUAAUGGUCGAUGGCGUCUCCACGCCCAUUUAUAGCGUCGACCUUAUGCUUUUGGACUGGUGCGGAGACGGCAAUUACAAAGUUUAGGCAAAGUUAAUGCUUUGGAGCGGGUAUUGAUUUCCACAAGACAAUGACAAUCGUGAUGUUUGAUGUAUUCACAUAGUGUUACAAAACCGGCUCUACAUGAUACAGUAACUGCUGCACGUUUUUUUUUUCCAGUUUUGCCUGUCGGUUAUUUUUCAAUUGGAUACCGCCUGAUUUUUUUUUAUCAAUCCAAUUAAGAUUUUCAUAUCCAUCGAAUCCAUACUAAUCUUAUAAGAAUCACAAUGAUUGAAUCAAAAGGUUGUUGUCAUCGUCCCUGAAAUAGCAAAACCGUUUUUCAAUGGGAUACGAUACCGACAGAAUUCUUUUCACCGUUGAAUUGGUAUCUCUGAAAUGUUUUGCGUCUGUCCGUGGUCUGCUUGUUUUUGCCUUGGUGUGUCCAGUUUCAGGUGUCCUCCGUUCCAUAAUUUUUGUCGAAAUAUUACAGAUAUCUCGACGCCUUUUAGGAAUAGAUACAUCCAUUUUUGCGCAAAUUUGAGACAAGAAUCAUGAAACGGAGGCAGUACUUCGUUGUGCCUUCCUGCUAAGAGCUAACCAAGCUGAAGAAAUCGGACCUUGGCAUUUUGAUUUGGGGUGUGACAACGUCAUCGGGAGGCUGGAAUUAACGGUGGAACCACGCAAUCAACCGGGAAGGAAGACAAGAGAACCGACAAGGAAGACGUCGGCGCCACUCACACACCUCCGGGAGGAAACAGGGCGAAGACAGUCGCACCGGCAAACAGGGCAGGUCGAGUGGUCGUGCAGCCACACGUCGAUGCAGUGCUGAUGGAACAUUUGCAGGCACGCCGGCAGCCGCUUCACCAUCUCCCCUUUCUCCACCUCGUCAAGGCAGACCGAGCACUCCGGCCAUUGGCUCGCCCCUCCGGAUGCUUGUACGCGGCCGGGAUGUCGUCCGUGGUGGCGCGCCCCUGCGCGCCGGCAGCUCCCGGGGGAGCACGAGCAUCCGACUCUGCCAGUAGCCUUUCUCGCGCGCACCGGCACGGCAGGCAGAGCAGCCAGCCGGCGCCGCGGAGGAACCGCAGGGGCGCGCGGCGAGCCGAGACCAAGCAACGGCGCGGCGCCGUGGGCCAAGGGAACAGCGGGCCGCAGAACAUCACCAGGAUGAUGGAGACCACGGCAAUGGAGCCUUUGCUGUGCGGCCUCCGCGAUUGACUGACGAGGGACCAGAUGAUCAACGCCGUGCCGCCCAUGCAGACGGUGCUUCCGACGGCCAGCACGCGCACGCGGAAGAAGCAAUCCAUGGCUGGCACCCGCGCGCGCGCGUGGCUCCCUUGUUUUGCCGUAAACUGGAUGACUAAGCUGCAGCCUAUACUAUUUCUUCAGUAAUUCAAUGCGCGAACGCGCGAUAUUUCUCAGGUAUUUCCAAGUCUCGGUCUCCAGCGGGAAGCCUCGCAAGUCGUCGAGCAAGAACUCCAUUUCGUACAGAGGCACGCAACCAGCCAACCAAUGAGCCCACCAUCAGAAGAAGAGUUCUCCAACUCCGAGCGUUUUUUUAUUUUCCGAACCGGAGAUCCAAGGACUCGAUCUAUUAAUUAUUAAUUAAGAAGAAUAGAAUUGUCCAGUUAAUUAACGGAAAACCAGACAAAAACCGUAACAAAACGUCCAUAAUACCAUCAUGAAACAUGACCGCACCAUGGACCACCCUGACCGACCUGGCCACCCACACUCACUCAACGCACGCUAACGAAGGAAGAUUGCCGUCGAAGUUGCACGCAGAAGCCAUCGUCAUCACACAAACACUCCUCCUGAGCUGGCGACUCCGACUUCCCCCACUAGCGUCCAAGAACGGGGACUCCGCCUCCAAAGACACGCAAGCUCAUAUCGGCCCAUGCCAAACAGUCGGUCAUCCUCGCAGGCGAACAAAAGAUGCCGAUUCUGAUGGCGAGCUUCAGAGGGGCACUAUGCAAGGCCUGUGCCGAAAAGGAACCCCAGAAAUCGGACCACCUCCCACCAAGUCAUCGUCAUCACGCAUCACUCCUCCUCUGAGCUGGGAACUCCGACUCCCCAAUAACGAAGCAACCAAUUCUGGAAAGCCAACGGACACGUCGGAAAGACCGACUACCAAAACCGACGCCGCAGCCCAACCUCUGCCCAACACCGUCGUCGCUGCCACUGAAGUCGCCCACGGACACCGGGGCAGCCACCACCUUGCACCAAGCCACUGGUCCCUCCAGCCGGUUCCCGCUCCAAAGCGGUGCCCCCAAGAGGGAAACGAUGCCAGGCAUCGACAUCGCCCGAUCCGAGAAGACCCGGAUCUAGGGUUUCCCCUGGAGCAUGGGGUCUAGUCGAGGGGAGGAGAGCUACACCAAAUCGACGCCUUCAGGAAGGUAACAACGCCCAUCCCAUGGGCGUUGUCGUCGCUGGCUCCGGUGACAAACGAAACCAUGGCUUUCGCCCAGCGCAGCUCAAACACAACCCCGCCCAGAUCUGCUAUUCCACCACGCGUUCCACUCGAUGUUGCCAUCCGUGCUGUCAACCCCGAGCAGGGAGCCCCGUCAAGACGAACAUCGCGGCCCAAAAGUCGCGUCACCACGGCGCCACAAAAGAGGCCGCACCCCAUCAGGAGGUCCUGCCGCACCGCCGGGGAGCCGCACUCGUCCACGACACCGUGCCAAGCCACCAACACCGGCCACUGACGUGGUUAGGACUAACCACGUACUCGACUCGAGUAUACCCGGUACAGCCUAACUGGGGCUCCACAAGGAAGCCUACUUUGACUCCAGGAGUCUGCAUGCCAAGUCUUGGGAUUCAAGAUAAGGAAGAUUAAUUAGAGUGUAUCUACUCAUUGUAACCGACUUGGACUCUACCUGAGACCUGAGUUCCUGCAAAUAUAAAGGAUCAGGAGGGGGAGCCAAGAGGAUACCCCCAACUUAGAUAGAAGUCGCCUAAACGCACUCGACGACUCGGUGCAUUUAGACUCUGCGGCACACCAUUGUAAUCGACUCAUCAAUACAGAUCCGACAAGUAGGACGUAGGGGUAUUACCUCAUCGAGGGUCCUGAACUUGGGUAAAUCGUGUCCCAUGUGUCCUUAUUAGCCGACGAGUUCGUCAACACACACUCGAAAUUUUUCCUUGAUACAAGUCCAUCAAUAUAGACAUUGUCGAAGUCACAUCUUCGUCAGCCGCCCAAACCCAGACUCGGCCCGCACCCGCACCGUCGCGAGCUGCCGGAAACGCCGCUCCGCUGUCGGAUCUGCAGCGCAGCAGUCUGGGGACCUCUCCCAAGCCUGCGAGCCGCCACGCCAACGGCUGCAGGACCGGACGCCCUCGCGCGCGCCGCCAAAGCCGUGCCCGCUUGCGCACAGCCGACCCCUACAGCGGUCCCCGCCGCCGCAAACGCCGCCAAGACAGGAGCCCUCGCCGCCACUGUCCUCGACCACGACCCAGGCUUAGCCGGCGGCAGCCUCAGGCGGCGGCGAGGGAGGAGAAGGGGAGGGAAGAGUGGUGGCGGCGGCGCUAGGGUUUGCCCCUGUGCCGCCCGCAGGAGAGGCAACGCGGGGGAGGAGAACUCCGAGCGGUUUGAUGCGCUGCCUACGAUUGACAUCGCAUAGUUUAACAGCACUGCAUCGAGGAGAUAACGGAUGCAUAUCUAACACGGUCGGUAGCAUUUCCACGGUGACCUUUUUUGCAGUGCGCAGAUAGGAUCGAUGUUAGAUACAGUUGGACCUGGAACUGAACAGGAGAGGAUGAUUGGGGGUGGUGUAAGACAAGUUAAUGAUGUUCAGGUCUACAAGAACUAUACGUGUUCACAGAUCAUCAAUUGAACUUAGUAAUAUAAGUUAUAUGACAAAAAAAAAUAUCAUAAAAAAGUUAUUUCGAUUAUGAUCUGAUGGUAUACUUUUUUGUGUAAUAGAAUACAAAUUUAGUUGAUCAAAUUGAUCAACUAAAACGGUGAAGACCUAAAUUGUAAGAGGAAAGUAUCCAUGAAAAAUAAAAAAGAGAAAAAAAUAUUUUCGCUCCUUCAAUUGGUAGCAAAUUCUACAAAUGGUCCCUAAACUUGAAGUCGUAUACAUUUGGUCCAUCAAUUGGAAAAACCGAAUACUUUUGGUCACUCUCUCAGAUUUUGAACGAUUUUGAAUCUAUGUUGAGCGGUUUUCCUCCGAAUUUUCCACGUCAGAUGUCUUCAUGGCAUUAUGUUCUUCUUAGAAAUGGUCUCUGAACUCAAAAUUGUAUACAUUUAGUCCCACAGCUAUGCAUAGUGGCAUCAGACGUGGAAAAUUCUUAGAGAAAACCGUGCCACGUAGAGUCAAACCAGUCAAAACCGUCCAAAACCAAAACAUGGACUAAAAGUAUCAGGUUUUAUCAAUUGAAAGACCAAAUAUCUACAUUUUUUAGUACGUUAAGGUACCAUUUCUAAACUUUACUGACAAUUGAAGGUCAAAAAUAUAAAAGAAUGUACAAAAAGAAUAUGACUAGAAAGAAUGCCACCCGGCCCUACUCCCGACCUGACUAUACGUGCACAAAACCGUCACUGCUACCCCGGAAGAUAUGUACACGUUUCUCCUAUAACCUACACCGGCGGCAAAGCACCCUCAGCCGGCGGUUCCAUCUCUAAGGCCACAGCUUUCCCAGCAACCUUGCGCGGCGGCGAGAGGUCGCACCGGCAAACAGGGCACGUCCGGUGCGAGUGCAGCCACAUGUCGAUGCACUCGACGUGGAACAGGUGCUUGCACUUGGGCAGCUGCCUCACCAUCUCCCCUGCCUCCAGGUCCUCCAGGCACACGGAGCACGGCUCGGCGCCACCGCCGCCGCUCUCGAGGUCGCCGCCAGCAGCAGCAGCUCCCUCUUGGCCGCCACGGGGAGAGGACGCCGCCGCGUACGCGAACCUGGGCAGCGCCUCGAUGGCGGCCUUGGGGAGCCCGAACGUCCAUGCCGUACUCCGCGGCGCCGUGGCGGGCUCCGGCUCGGCGGCGGCAGACGAUCUCCCUCUGAUGAUCCCGACGCGCCAGCUCUCCGGCGCCAGGCACUCGCCGAUGCCGAAGGCGAAUAACGCCAGGACGGCGAAGAGGAACGCCUUCCAGACGCUGACCGUGGCCACGAGCACGCAGAAGACGAGCAUCGUCAGGAAGGACACGGCGACGCCGUAGCAGGUGCCGCGCCGCCUGCCGUGCCCGUUUGAGCCCUCGCCGCCGCGGAACCACGCCGGGAGCAUCGCCAACAGGCCAGGCAUGAUCACUUUCUAGCGGCGGGCGGGCGGUCGAUUCUAAUGUUUGAAGUAAACUGCUGCUGCGGCGAUUGCUGUGUGGCAAUGGCGAGUGUUCUGCGGGGAAGAAAUAGGCAGAGCGUUUGAGCCCGUGGGAUUAGAGCGCGCGCGGCAACGAUGGAUGGUGUUCGAUUCUGGAGAGCGCGGCUGCCUGGCGCGCGGAAGAUAAAGUAUGUCUUUCUCUGACGAAAAAUGCAUGUUUCAGGUCCUGAUAGAGGGUCAAUUUUCAUGCGCUGGCCAUUACUAUUAGCUAAUUUUUGGCAUGGUAAAUGAUACGUACGACACGGUGGAAAGCGACACAAGCUUUACCCACACGGGCACACAUGCCCGGAGCAGGACUAUACAUGGUAGACGUACGAGGAGUCUGGUCAACAAUAGCCUAUCUCUGGUCAAUCGAUGAAUACCUCAAUUUGUUUAUUUUAGUUGGGGGCGGGCUGACUUGAGACGGUAUGUAAAACUAGACUUAAUUUUGGGGUGUGUCACUAGGCGCCUGUUUUUUCAUAUCAAAACAGGAGCCUUUUUUUUGCAAACAAAACCAGUCGCCUGCUAGUUAAAAAGAAACCAGUCACCUAAGACAUAGAAGGACUAAACACAAGAUCUAGCAACCAGUCGUCUGAUCCUUGAUUAAAAACCAGUCACAUAGACAGCCUUCUGACGGGUUCUUUAAGAGUGACAAAAUCAAACAAAACAAAAAUCAUGUUCUGGACAGAGUUCAUAAUCAAACAUAUACUAUCCAUCAUGAACAAAUAAACAGAAGAAUGAAAUUCAAAGGGUACGGUGAUUCAAAGGUCAAUUGCAAUAAAGUUUGAUCAUAACACCGAUUGCAAAUUGUAACUACAUGCAAGUAGACCCAUCAAAAAAUCUAGGACACUGCCAUUACAUAAUGAAGAAAAGAAAGAAACAACAGGUGGUGCAAAAUUAGAAAAAUUUGAUUGCAAUUGCAUUCAGUAACAAAAUCAAAAUAGUGGCCUGAUUGUUUAAUAAAAAAACUGCCUCAUGACCAGAUUCAUGUGUUGGAAAUAUGCCCUAGAGCCAAUAAUAAAGUUGUUAUUAUCAUAUUUCCUUGUUCUUGAUAAAUGUUUAUUAUCCAUGCUAUAAUUGUUUUGACAGGAAACUAAAUACACGUGUGGAUAAAUAAACAAAUAUCGUGUCCCUAAUACGCCUCUACUAGAUUAGCUCGUUGAUUAAAAGAUGGUUAAGGUUUCCUAACCAUAGACAUGUGUUGUCAUUUAUUAACGAGGUCAUAUCGUUAGAAGAACGAUGUGAUGGACAGACCCAAACCUAAGCAUAGCUUUUGAUCGUGUCACUUAAGUUUAAAUUGCUAAUGCUUUCAUUAUGUCAAGUAUCAUUUCCUUAGACCAUGAGAUCAUGCCACUUCCUAGUACCGAAAGAAUACUUUAUGGACAUCAACCGUCAUCUCGUAACUGGGUGAUCAUAAAGAUGUUCUUCGGGUAUCUCGAAAGGUGCUUGUUGGGUUGUAUGGAUCAAGACUGGGAUUUGUCUCUGGGCCCUCUCGGUAAUAUAACAUCCUAAUGAGCUUGCAAGCAUGUGACUAAUGUGUUUAGUCACGGGGAUAUUAUGUUGCGGUACGAGUAAAGAGAACUUGCCGGUAACGAGAUUGAACUAGGUAUGGUGAUACCGACGAUCAAAUCUCGGGCAAGUAAUAUAUAACGAGACAAAGGGAAUUGGAUACCGGAUUAAUUGAAUCCUCGACAUCGUGGUUCAACCGAUGAGAUCUUCGUGGAAUAUGUGAAAACCAUUAUGGAUAUCCAGGUCUCGCUUUUGGUUAUUGAUCAGAGAGGUGUCUCGAUCAUGUCCGCAUGUUUUCGAACCCAUAGGGUCACACACUUAACGCUUAAUGUCGCUAGGGUACGAUGAGAUAAUAGAUGGUGAUAUCGAAUAUUGAUUUGAAGUCCAGGAUGGGAUCCAGGACAUCACGAGGAGCUUCAGAAUGGUCCGAAGAUAAAGAAUUAUAUAUGGGAAAACUGUUUCGGAAAAGUUCGGGAUAUUUUCCGGUAUGGACCGAGAAUGUUCUACAAGGUUCCGGAAGUUCUCAAAAGGUUCGGAAUGUUCCAGAAUAUUCCUGAGAAUUUAAUCGGGCCUUUAUAAAAUUAAUUAGAGCAAUCUAAUUAGUUAUCCCCUAAUGGGCCUAGGCCCAUUAGGGGGAAAGGGGAGGAACAACUGAGCUCGUGGGGAGGGAGUCCUCCCGGGACUCCUUUCCGGGAUCCCCUGGCCGGCCACCUCUAGGAAAGGAAAGGGAAAAACUGAAUUAGGAAAUUGAUCCCUAUGUGAUCAAAUUCCUAUUUCUUAAGAGGCAAGAAAGGAAAAAUGAGAUUGUCUCUCUUACCUGCCUUGCCGUCGGCCUCCUCCCCUAUAUAAGGAGGGAAGGGGCUGCCCCUUGGAUGCCCCUGCUCUCCCUGACCUCCUCCUCUCACGCGCACGGUGAAGCCCUGCCCGUGGAAAACUUCACCAUAGCCUACACCACGCCAUCGUGCUGCUGGAAUCUCAUCGACCUCUUCUCCUCGCUUGUUGGAUUAAGAAGGAGGAGACGACGUGAAGCUGAACGUGUGGAUACUAAGGAGGUGCCGUCGUUUUCUACACUGAGAUUGAUCUCGUCGAAAGUUCCACUACGCCAACAACAAUCCUAUGAUCGUAACGCUUUGUGGUCUACGAGGGUAUGAUGCUCAUUAUCGCUCUCGUUACUUACAUCUACUAGAUAUGUUCUUAGGUUUCUUCCGCACAUCUCGUAGGAAAUUUUUUGUUUUCCAUGCAAAGAACCCUUCAUCAUGCUCUUUGAAUCAACUACAGUACACUUGUCCAGUCUAAAACAACAGAAAGGGAAGGAAACACCCUAACACUAACUGAGUUACAAGUUAAGACAACAAAAUUCAGCCUAAAACUACUAGUGUGCGAAAUAUCUCAGAAUUGACAAACAAUGCUGAAAAUUAAUAGUCUGCGAUUCCAAUAACAAGCAAAUGCAAUUGCAAUUAAUAAAACUUCCGAUUGCUCAUAGUAAGAUACAUGCAAUUGACUAAAAAGAAUAGAUAAUGGGCACAUUGUACCUGUGAUCCACACUAGACUAGUGACAAAAUUUCAGACAAAAGAUAUUCAGCCUCUGGACAUAGGGGAAGACUAAGGCUCAACAACAACAAAUAAAGGAUGGAACUACAACCGUGCAAUUCCAGUAACAAAAAAAAGGCAGUAGCAAUUCAUAAGACAUCAGAUCGCACAAAGUAAACUAAAUGCAAUUGAGUAAGAGAACAACAAGGAACAAAUUUACGGUUCAUUCACAUUUGGGAAAGUGCAUUUUUGUAACUAUGAUGUACACACGGAACUAACGAUCGACAGAUAAGGAACAAAAUUUAUGGAUAGCAAUUAACUGCAAUUGCAUAUCAAAAGACACACGAUUGCAGGUAUUAAACUACAUGCGAUGCAAUAGCUAAUACUAAUUAAAGUGGAUUAAAGUAGGUUCAGCUAAUGCACAAAGAUGCUUGGGUUAGGUAAAUAAAGGAAGGUCUAAACUACACAAAGGCUCACAAGGAUUAUUAUUUUUCUUGCAAAAGGACUAAACGACACAAAAGAGAGAAAAAAGCACAAUAGAGAAUUCUUCAGAUACACGUAUCAAAAAGGCAAGAUGUAAAUACCAGAUCGUUAAUAUUUUCAAUGAUCAAGUCGGUCUCUGAAUAAUCUUUGGAUGAAUAACCAUCCCGCACUUAACAAAACCAAAGUGAGAGAUUGACAAAAGGUAUAGAAUAAACUCACUUCAUACACAAGGAUGGGGAGAAUUCUACAUCAUGUCUAGUGCAAAUAGGUAAGAGGCAGAAAAACAAUAAUGUAAUUGCAACAAUGAUUUGAGUGCAAUUAAAUUUAAGCUGUGCAAAACUAGGGAAGAUGGUGAUAUAUCCAGAACAAUAAGUUGCAAUUGCAACUUGGGAGAACUGAAAAUGCAACAACAGAAUGAGUGCAAUUAAAAUUAAAAAGCAGUAAAAUGGCUCCUGACGACGAGUUCAAAUUGGUUUCGCAUCUAACUAACACCUCGGCGCCUCCAACUGGAGUGCAAACUCCAAUUUGAAAAAGGUGCAAUUGCAAAAGUACAAGUACUGUGAUUGACUCUGAAUCAGAAUCAUAAGUGCAAUUGCACUUUGGCACAAUUUAGUUGCUAGGUAUAAGUAAUGCAAUUGACAAUAAAAUGCAGUCCAAAUCCAUCCCAUAAUUAACAACUAAUGGUGCUUGGGGAAGCAUAAAUCAUAAGUGGAUAUUUCUGUUCCUAAAAAACAAAAAUAAUUAUUUUGACAAACACAGUCACGCUCUACCUGGGAGUGGCCAGCUAGCACCCGAAGAGUGCAUACUCUUUACCUGGGAGUGGCAUUAUACCACCAGAACAUGCACUUUGGCAACAAAACAGAGCAUGGGAAUCUAAAUAAGAGAAAAUAAGAUUAUAUGUACUCUCCUCUAAUGUAGAAUCAAAAUCAAAAUAGUCCCAAAUUUCCUAUUUUGCAACAGAGCAUGGGAAUCUAAAACACAUAUAAACCCAAAAAAUGUAAUUGCAACAACUUAAUUCUAGAAUUGCACUGCAUGAACUUUAAAAAGUUGGAAAUUUUUAGUUUAAUCAUGUAAGUGCAAUUCAAAUUAGAGGGAGCUGCAAUUGCAACAUAAAAUUCACCUGCUAGGACACGAAAAAGGAAGAAACGAGACUUCCCCAAUCAGGGUACCCUAAGAACAGAACACUACGACAGCUGCGUGGAAAAAGGCAGCAACAACAAGCUGAAAUCGAGCGAUGAGCAUGAAUCGAAAUCACAAGCCUAGUCAGAACGAGCAACAAGCAAACGGAAGUGAGAGAUGGAGUCUAACCUCAAUCCACAGUCAACAAGCCUAGUCAGAACUGAUCAGGCAAGUCGUUUUCAGCACCUACAUGUAUAUUUUGCCCACUUCUUAGUACUGCUGAUAUUGUGCACAAAUUAACUUGAGUUGACAAAAUGCAGGGUUUCUCGUCGGCAUGGUUUACUGAAGCAUUCAAUUCAACAUAUACAGACUAUAACACACAACAACAAUUUGGAACAGCUCAGCCAAACAAUGCAGAAUACAACAAUUUGCUAAGGGAUAUGACUUCCCUUGGUGUAAGUAAAAACAAAACCUACCUUCUAAAAUAAUGUUCUGUUUGUGAAAGCUGUUAAGAGAUAACUUGCAGAUUUUUGAAUUCUUACGGCACAAAUUGGUGAUUUCGAUACAGAUGACAAUUUCUUCAGUGGUGCACGGAUGAUUUAAAUAUAAAAAUAUAAACAAAUAACUCAAAAGAGAAAAUAUGCAACCACCCAGAAGAGAAAUUAACUAGCUUUUGGUUUUGCAGCAUACCUACGACAUGACGAUAGAUCAAACAAUUGAUAUAGAACACAUGGAGAUGUAGGACCUAGAGAAGACAUACAUUCUGACAAAUAACAUAGAACAGGCGGUCAGAAUUGAGGAAGAAAUUGAAGAGGCGGAUAAUGAUUGGAUAAAUUAUGAUGAGAUUCAGGAAAAUGGAGAAAACUUGCUGAAAACAGCCAAGAAAAUAGCAAUGAUGAACUGCAAUGCAAGAUGAUAGUGUACAAGAGAGCACAAAAAUGAGUGCUCGGGGAGCACCAGUAACACUUGAUCCAGUGCAACCACCCCUGUGAAAUCAAAAUGCCAUUCCAGAACAACUAACGCAGCUCAAAGUAAAGCAUAACCAAGCACGAGGAGGCCAAGCUACAAGUAACAUAUGCAGAGCAAACACCGCCGCCGCCAAACACCACAAUGCAGACCUCGCCGCCGAACAAACCAAAAUUCUGAGUACAGCUAAUUUGCACAUCCCUUGCACGCCUAAUAGCUGACUAGAGCUCUCCGACGACGGCCACGAAACAAACACCCGUGUCGCCUCUGCCGUUUUCCCCUCGCCACACCUGAGCCAACGACGCAAAAAUCAGAGCCAAAAGUACAGGAGAAGAGGCACAACAAAGGAAAACAGAUCGCAAGUACCGCUAGCCACGUCAGGGGGUUCACCGGAGGACGGCGGAAAAGCAAAAGCCUCCUGAUGACAAGCGCGCAAAAUCGAACCCCUCUCGACUCUGCAGUGUUCACCUCGCCAAACACCAGAGCCAAAUCAGCAGCAGACAGGCGGGGGCUCGCGCACGCGAGCCGCAAAAAAAUUGCUAGACGGAGAAGUAAGAGCGGGGAACUCACCGGAGUAGGGCAGAGAGGAACCACCCAGGCCGCCGACGAGAGCGAAUCAAAGGAAUCAACCCUCUCUUGCCUCUGGAAGCUUCGCGUAGCUACGCCCCCAGCCAAGGAGAAAGCAAAAAACUGAGCGCCCGAAACGAGGAAACACAUCAGUUCGCAGAAGGGGCGCCGGGGAACUCAUCGGAGGGCGGCGGCGAGCAAAACCCGCCGACGGCGAGCGAAAUCGCCUCUCCAUGUCGCCCUCUCGACUCUCGAGAAACUCGUGGUCUACAGCUGAGCAAAAUGACAGACUGCGUGGAGUUCAGAAAGAAGCGGUCCGAGCCUGGAAAAGAAAAGAGCCAGCCCGACCAAAGUUUCCCGAAUCCUGAUGCGUCAAUCCAGGUGAAAAUCGUUAAUUUUGCCCUUAACCUCUAGUUCUGUGGUGAAAAACUGUAAUAAUAACGUCUUUUCAAAAUAAAGAUCUCCUCCUUUUAAAAAUAUAGUGCGAGUGCCUUCCAACCGUUUAUAAAAAGUUGUGCUCAAAUACUCUUGUUGAUUGCCUAAAGUCAAGAAAACUAAUUAGUACUCUAUCCGUUCACAAAUAAGUUUACUUUUUAGAAGGACGAGGGUGUAGUGCUGGUUGAUUCGAUCCAAACGAAAAGUUGCGAAAGCUCAUCCUAUGCCACACAUCUUUGAUCCAACGGCUCAUAUCAUGGUUGCAUGUUUUCAUCCAAAAUCGUUUACAGUAUACUUUCUCCCUCGGGUCUAACUGAAUCUUUCCCUUGUCUCAAAGCUUGUGUACUAACCUCUGUAUUUUUAUAUUUUCAUCGAAUUGAAUUAGGUUCUAGUCUGUGUAUAGCGAUUAUAAUUCUGAUAUCGGUUAAGAAUAUAUGAAUUCAUUUCAUAAGAACAACCCAAGAAAUGCCUGCACAAAACGUCCCGCUUACUAUUCCUGAACUGAAGACAAAUAAGAAAUUGCACAAAUUUGCAGGGAGAAGAACUGAGUACAAUAGAAUCAGAAUAUAUAGAAACGCAGUGUGGAGACAUGAUUAAUUAGUUGCAGCCCAUGCACAGCUUUACGGAAUUUUGUGUGCUGAAUAAAAAUUGACAUCGUCGCAACUUAAGAUGGUGGAGAAACAGUGACAGACACUUGUACAUGCCCUUUCCUAGCUACACCGGUGGCAACGACUCAUCCGACGACUCCGGCGCCCCUUCUACCGCCACGGCGACGCCCUUCGCUACCUCCACCAUUGGCGGCGGCGCGAUCACGCAGCGGCACAUCGGGCACGUCCGGUGCGAGUGUAGCCACAUGUCGAUGCACUUCACGUGGAAGACGUGCCCGCAAUUCGACAGCCGCCGCACCAUCUCGCCGCCGCGCACGUCCUCCAGGCACACGGAGCAGCACAUUGCCUGCUCCUGCUGCUUGCCGUCGACGCUCUCCAGCGGCGGGCACGUGUAGGCGAACGCCGGCGGCAAGUGCGCGGCCGGCAACGACGCGCACGCGCACCGGCCUGGCACUGGCACCCGUGUCCGGCCAUCAGGAGCCGAGAGAGCGAUGAGCGCGCUCGCUGGCCUUCCCCUACUGCCGCGAACCCAUGUCCUCGGGCUGGGAGCGAAGCAGCCGAGGAUGCCGAGGAGCAGCGCGGCCACGGCGGCGAACGCGAAUGCCUUCCAGACGGCGACGGAGGCCGAGGCCACGAGCACGCAGAAGAGGAAGAUGGAGGUGCAGAGCACGCCGAUGCCGUAGAAGACGCGGUAUCCGUCGGCGCCGUUGAUGUUGUCUUCGUCGGCGGCGGAGCUCGGCGACCCCCUCGGGUACAAGUUGAGCAUGAUCGACGAGCAGAUUGAUAGACUCGACUUGUAAUACACUGGACUGGAGCAAUUAGUUGUGUUCGCGCUUGUUGUUGCACUUCGGUAUGUAAUUAACUUGAUCAGUAGUACUAGUAUGGGAUCGAUGUUGCAAUGAACGGAUGUUUUCGUGGCAAAUAAAUAGUGUUCGCCUAUGGGGUUUUGGCGUCUCGUGGCAGCCACGGCGUGGAUGAAAAUGACGGCGUUGCCUUGACGUGUGAGCUCCGUGGCAUCCAGAUGCCAGAUACGGAAUUGGAGUAUUGGACGGCUCGUGUUUAUAUGUUUGUUGCAGUGUGCCGUCUGAACGCAGGGCCACCGCCACCUUUUUUUUAAAGCAUCUGGUUUUAUUGGAUCAACAAAUUUGUGUACGUGGGAUCAACAAAUUUGUGUACGUAGGAUGAAAAACCUGAAAGACAAACCGACAACAAAGAUUCCUAAUGAAAAUAAAAGUUACGUCAAGAUAAUUUGAAGCAACAAUCUUUAGACCCAUCAUCCGUAUGUUAGAAUUUCUUCAUGUCUCUGGUGAUGAAAUUGCAUAAGCCUAAAUCUGCACAAGUUGGACUAACCUCAUACAUUUUAAAUAGCCACGUGAGUCGCUCACCACAACCGGUGAGAACUUAAAAUCGUUGAACGGACUUUGGCCGGAGACCCACCCCUUACAGGACAGGUUGUCGAACCACCUAUUCGUCACCAGACUGACGAGGAAGAAGAACAAAAUAACGAAAAAAACAUACCGCGAGAUCCAUUGGUUCUAUGGAGUAGAUCGUGUAGACUAUGCCAGGAAGAGCACGGAGACGGGAGAUCUUCUGAGAGAUCGCCAUGCGGGAAGCCCCUGCCUCACAAAAAAAACUUGCACUGCUAGUUGGACUGCCCAGCGCUUCGGUGAAAUGCGCGCCAUCAAAAAGGGGCUGAGGCUGGUUUGGUCGCAUUGCCACGUGGGCUUGUUGAGCAGCCCUGUAGUCACACUAACUCAAUCCUUAAAUUUGGUUCAGUGUGGAAUUAUUAAGCUAAAAUUGUCCAAAUAAACUUAAAUUAUGAUCUAAAGUGUCACAACAGAGUCUCCAAAUAGGGCCAGGGUAUCUAAAGUAGAGCUCCCAGGUAUCGUAUAUGGAUAUGGCCAUCGUGUACAACAGUUUAUGCUACCCACCGUCGAGACCAAUUCACCUGGACGACGAUUGAGACACAAUCUUCGUUUCCCUUUGAGAAACAAAGCCGCUACUAAUCCACAGGUCCUGAGGUAAAUAAAAUCAUCUAAUUUCCUUUAUGUUGUAGGGCACAUAUUCAUCAAAACUUUGAACUUGACAGUAUGUGAUAGUAAGUAUUUAUUAUACCUCCAAUAAUAACACAUUUCCACUCAUUGUCAUAUAUGAGGUCAGUGGCGGAGGCAGGGGGACAAGCAGGGGCCUGGUCUCUCCUAAGAUCUAAAAUUUCGCCCCAACAUUUUUGUACUACCAACUUUGUUCAAAAUCUGCGACAAGUAAUUUCGGCUGGAGGGAGUGCAAGUUUUGUACUGUUAUGUUCUGAUCCCUCUAAUAAUUUUCUAUUCUGCUCUGGCCCCUCUUAUAAUUUCCCCCCGCCUCCGACCCGGUAUGAGGUUGAAUAGUGGUGGAAUGGAUAUGUUCGUAUAUGGCCAUUACAUAGGACGUGGACAUGAAAUAUAUUCACGGAUUCACCACACUAAGAAAAAAUCAGAAAAUGAAACCCGAGUUUGACUUUGAAGAUCAUUUCUAUAUUACCAUGUACAUGUCAAUCCCAAGAGCCAAUCGGAUAGGACCAACCAUUUCAUCCCAGCUUCCAUUUCCGCCCGUCAUCCUCCUUUCUAAUGAAUCUCUCCCCAAACUAAAUUCAAUCUGAACAUAGAUAUAUAUCCGGAGAAAAGACAGGCCAACAAACUAGUUUGAGCAGACUUCUUGACACGUAAUUUUUACAUUGGUUAUACAAUUCGUACUCCAACAUAAGUAUAUUACGGAGGCACUCUCUGGAUACGAACUAAUGUUGUUGAAAUUUGGAUGCAUUACACCGGAGGCACCAGCUGACGGUCUUUGGAAGGAGGAGCCUCGACCGUGGCCCUGCAGAGAGGGCAAGUGGAGUGGGAGCGCAGCCACAGGUCGAUGCAGGCGACGUGGAACAGGUGCAUGCACGCCGGCAGCUGCCUCACCGUCUCCCCUUCCUGCAGCAAGCUCAGGCACACCGCGCACUGCGCCCACCCGCCGCGCCCUCUUGACCCGCUGCCUUCACCACGGCCGUCCUCCCCGCCGCCGCCGCCGCCGCCGGCCACGCCUCUGUGGUACGAGAAAGACGGGAGCGAGGCCACGGCGUUGGGGCUCAGCCCGCCGCCGCCCGCUUCUCGGCGCACGACGAAGAACGGGCGGCGGGGCCCCACGUAGACGAUGCGGCGGGGCCGGAAGCAGAGGCAGUCGCAGAGCACGAUGAUGAGGACGCAGGCGGCGGUGACGCUGAAGCCGAUGACGAGGAGCGCCAGCGUGUCGUGCGUGCUGUAUCUGCCGCCGUCCGCCGAGUACGGCAGCGUGCUGUUGGAGCUCGACGACAACGACAUGGCCGGCCGGUCGACCGAGACCCACGGCUUAGCUCUAGCUCUAGUUUCUAUCCGUGUGUCAACUGUCAGCUAGCUUAUUGUUUGAGAGCUUUACCAUCGAGAUCAAUUGUGGUACUGCUUGUAUAUAUGUAACUUGGAUUCUUCGGGGCCGAUUUGUAUAUGUCCAAAUGCAAGUAGUUGUAAAAGUAUUAUUGGCUACAUAUAUGAGCGUUGAAAGAACUGGAUGUGAUUAGGAAUACUGAUUAGAUUAGUUGAAGAAUAGGUCAUACCCAAGUUUAGUUAAUUGUGUGCGUGCGUCAUGCAUAACUCGGCGUUACUCGGAGUACAUCUUUGGAGAUCUAGGUUCAUGUCAUGUAUGCUUCAUGCCCUGCAUUAUUUAUGGUUCGCUGGCCCUUCAUCCUGGUAAACUGUCGUCUCAUUGGUUAAAACAACAACCGCAACUUGCUCUGUUUCUCAACCACUGACAUUUCGCUAAUGCGGCUUGCUAAGUGCUAACUGAAUCCAUCACUAGUUUGUGUAGUAGGUUGAUGUCAAUGGAAUAUAUAGUCACUAACGGAUAAUCAUCGGCUGUUUUUCCUUCAUUUCCUCAGAGAAUAUACCAGGCCUAAACACAAGGAGAAGCUCUGUCUGUCGUACACGGUCACGCUUCACCAGGUAAGGAAGUGUUAUUUUCUUCUUCUCUUUUCAGGAAAGAACGCGGAAGUUUUAUGUAUAUAGUCUGGAAUAAUAAAAGUUAUAGCACAGCCCAGUUAGACACGAUUAAGCCUGCUCAGCCCAACAGUAUGUAUAGGAAACCCAAAAGAACCCAAAUUCUCGUGGCAUCAUCAACGAGUGCGAACGAAAAUAGAUCAAAAGUCAAAACAAAACAAUUCUUCGACAUGAUGCGGCGGGGGUCUUUUCUGACGGCAAUAAUUGGUGUCUUGGUCUGUAGGGUGUGCCUUUGAAUAUGUUGUCCAACUGAUUUUCUUUGGCCAAUCCGUUUUUCUAUAUGAAUUACAGAAACACACUCCUCAUUUUUCUUUUUUUCUUGGGAGGAUAAAAAUCAGCACUGCGCUCUCCAAGGAAAUAGGUGUUUGUGUAUGGCCUAUUCGAUUCAAACGAUUGAUUGAUGAUUAUAUCUUCAAGAUAUCCUGCAUGUUUUUUUUAGGGAAAGCAGUAGAUCAAAUGAUCUACUGCAAAUUUUAUUGCCAAGUAUUUACAUAUGAAGACAAGAUUCAUUUAUUGCCAAGUAUUUACAUAUGAAAAAAUGUACAGGGCUAUCUAAAAGUUCUAAGCCAAUCUAAAAAGGCCGAGUGAUACUUUCUCUUGGUCCGGUGGAAGACAAGAUUCAUUUCUUCCAAGAAAAUUCGCCGGCAUCUGUAAAGAGAUGGAUUAUUGAAGAUGAAGUCAUUUCUGACUCUCCAGAUGCUCCAACAGACCAGAGUAAUCAUAUCCAUACCAAAUGGUUUAUUAAGCUGCCUAUUAAUCUCAGAGAGGAUGUGAAGUGUGCAUCCAUGAGGCAUGAAGCGAGGGCAAAGAUACCUCCAGCAUGCAAGGGCAAAGGGACAGUAGAAAAACAGGUGAUCUCUGGUCUCAAGGGCGCGUUGCUGACAAAGGAUACAGGAGUAUGAAGGCAGAUGGAAGUUCUUCCUGAGGAGCAUAGCUCUGGUAUUCAAUCUAUGGAUCAUGAGGAGCCAGCAAAAGAUCUUGUGCUUAAUCUGACAGCUUGAGUCCUACUUCCAGUGAAAUGCCACAUGAAUCUCAACAUGUUCAAUCAUAGAAUUAUAGAAUGAAACUGCAGAAAAGACUUCUUUUGUUCCAGCAGUACACCAUGUAUCAGGAUAUUGAUCAAGGGCCAGAUGGUCAAGCAAUAAAGACAUCUCCUGAAGUUGAUAUCCUACAUGUUCAUCCAUAUUGUUUAUAUAAAUAUUGUGUGCACUCUUAUGGACCAGCAGACCGAGAUGUCACCGAAAUAGCAAAGUCAAACACGAACACUGUUGGCAUAAGGAGCGGUGGAGUGGAAGUGGUACGCUGGCUUUUGCCCGCAUCUUUCAAAAAGUCACGAACACUAUUUGCUGAAACGAAACUGUAGAUCGCAGUGGAAGUGUUAGUUUGCAACUUUUAUCUUGGUUGAACACACGGUUGGCUUAUUUAAUCUCUGUGUAGACCGCAGUGGAAAUUUUAGUUUGCACACCCUUUUCUUGGUUGAACACACAGUUGGCUUAUUUAAUCGUGUGCACGCAUGAAGCAUGCUCGUCCCACAUAAUUGCAAGGUAGUCCUAAUUAUUUGGAAGUGGGAGUACUUAUCCAGAUAAUUAAUCUCUUAUUUUUUUCAUCAGUUGUUCUACUUUGAGAACCAAUAUGUACUCUCGCCGUUCCAUAUUAAGUGACUUUCUAUGAGUAUCUAGACGUUUUUUAGAUAUAGAUACAUUCAUAAUUGGACAAAUUUAAGUAAGUUAAUAUAACGGAGGAAAUAAUUAACAGUGACAUAAGACUGUUUGAUAAGAACAUUUACAAAAGUCUACUCUGAAUUAAAAUGUUUACAUAGUGAGAAAAAAUUGGGGGAGAAGAAAACUGACAGUACAUAAAAACUCAGACCCUUAUCCAAUAGUCGACUAAGAGUCAGCUAAGAGUCGAGCUAGUUACCAUUAUACAACGUAGAAUUUAAUGUAAAUCUAAAGUCAGCUUAAAAACAAAACUCAUUCUAUUAGCUAUUUUAUCAUCAACUCUGUGUCAUGUAAGAAUUAGUAUUGAUUUUAUCUUUGUGGAUGCUCUGCUGACCUUGGCUUACAACAAAAGAGAAGGUAAGGGUGUGGUAGCACACCCUGCACGCCACGAUCAGAACUGUAUCCACAAAUUUUUUGGUGAAGAAUCCGUACACUUAAAAAGGUACAUGGGUCCCAUGUGGAGUGACGAUCUCACAUGGUUCUACCAAAUUCCUAAAACCGCCUACACCCCAAAUUCUAAGUUAGCGUCUUGGGGCCCAAAGGCCUUGGGCACUUUCCAGACUGAACUGUCGGUAUGUUCGGGUUUUCGGGUUCUGGGUUCCAUUUCAUUCAUGUUUUAAUGUAGUUUGGAGAUUGUGUCGGUUUUUCACCUUAAAACCCAAAUAAACUACUCCUUCCGUCCCGAAUAAAGUACUUUCUUCGCGGCUCCGCUUGAAUCCACUUCAGUUAAUUCAGGACUGAGUGAGUAAUUAACUUGAAAAUUAUAAGACAAAAUCUUUCAGCCAGCCCAAGGCCCUCUGUUCGAGCUCGAGCCUACUAAUUCUACCCAUCCACAAUUUUUCUCUCCAAAAUUCAUUAGAAAAUCUCUCGGUCAAUCCAACGCCCAACUAGAUCUCUCCAAACCCCGGUUAAUUUUACUAGGUCGCUCUUGCUUUCCCUAGCUAGCCUAUUUUAGGUUUGUUGGUGGACCUGAUUUUCUUUUUAAAAUUUCGAAACUCACCUCUAGAACACCGAAUAGACCUUAUUUUCAUUUCAAAAUUUCAAUACUCAUAUUUAUUUUCUCAUCAUAUAUAUUGUUUGUUCUUGCUAAAGAGUUUCAUAGGUCAUAGUACGAUAUUUCAGUAAUCUUCCACCAUUGGCGAGCGUGGCUUUGGGUCGUUGAGCUACGAGAAAGCAAGUCCCGAAAGCUAUCAGACAUGAAAGGUGAAAAUGUGAGAUAAAAGCUAGCUACCGUAAAAUCAGGAUGAGAAAGAAGCUAAAUUAUUGCUCUUAGAGGAGGAUGAACAUAGUUUGGCUUUCUAAUAAAGCUGGGCUGAAAAGCCUAUUUUCUAAAUAAAAAAAUUGCUCUUACAUAUGUUCGUCUCCUUUGCAUUGACCAAUGCCGCCAUUAUCCAGAUGGAGCCCUCCCGGAUUCUAUUCAAUCCAAUGUAAAAUAUGUACCCUCUGCCACUAGCAAAGGCCCCCUGUUCUACUUUUUUUUAAUGCCAGGACAAAGGAGCUCAUCACUCCUAGUAGUUUAAAAAAAAACAGAUAAUCCCCUGUUCAACUACUCCUGCCCGUCACUGGACGCGAAAUUGCACGAAAUAAAAUCAACCAAAGGCCACACUCAACUAAAUUGAGUAUAAAGAACAUGUCAAAGAGAUGCCUAAACAAUCAAGAGUAGGAGAAUCUUGUAAAUCUCUCGAUACGAAAUUCUACCUAGUGUAUAUACAGAAGUGCAGUGCAGACAGACCCAUUGCUCCAGCGGCGGCCGGGCAGCUCAAACUUUGUCGGCGGCGGCGGCGGCCGAGGCGACGACGUCGCAGCGGCAGAGCGGGCAUGUGGCGUGCGAGUAGAGCCACAUGUCGACGCACUCGACGUGGAAGAGGUGCCCGCACGCCGGCAGCCGCCGCACCACCUCCCCGUCCCGCACCACGCCCAGGCAGAUCGCGCACUGCGCCCACCCUCCUCCGCCGCCGCCGCCCCUCCGGUACGCGGCCUUGGGGAUCGCCGCGAGCUCCGCCGGUGCCAGCCCCCCGCGCCGGCCGCCGCCUCUUCUCCUGCCGCCGCCCGCCGCCGCCCCGGACGCCGCCGCUUCUCGCUGCGCGAAGGCUCGCUUGAAGCAGACGGCCACGGUGACGACGAUGAGGCCGCACGCGAAGGCGAGGCAGAAGAGCACCACCGUGUCGCACACCCUGUAGCUGCCGAUUCCGGCGACGCUGGAACCGCCGCUGCUGCUGUGGACCUCGUGGGACGGCUGGGGGGAAGACAUGGCUGGUACGGCUCGUUUGUUUCCCCUUCCCUGGCUUCUUGCGCGCGGCGUGAUAGAUGUGAUUGCAGGAUGGGCGGAGUGGGGCCAAUAAUUAAUUAAGCAGCUUGACAUUAAAGCCGUAAGUUCGUUUUUCUUUUUUUUCUUUUUUGUUCGGAUUGCAGCUUGGGAAGCUUAUGGUAAUGAUUCCGUUUAUGUCCCAUCAACCCUACCUAUGGGGAUUGCUUUUUGCCAAUGAAAUCAGGCCGCACGAUGAUAGCAACGACAGAGACGACCUCCGAUCGAACGGACGACAUUUAUUCUCUGUUCCUUAUCAGGGUUUGCCUAGAUAUUUAGCUGGGCUCGUGUGGCCGUAAGAUGCCUGCUGCUAGGCUGGAUAUAGGCUCGAUUAGAGGGUGCAGCGAUGUUAAUUAACUGUAAUUUGUUUUGAGAAGAAAAAAAAAUCGAGGAUAAAACAAAAACUUCUCGUUCCAAGAUAUGACGAACGAUAUCCAGCAGAAAUGUCGGCAAUAUUAUUUGCCGUCAUCUUAGGUUUCUUUCUAGAAUAUGCCGUCAUCUUAGGUCUUAGGCUAACAAUGUGAAUAUCAAAAUGACUUCUUUCGUUGAGGCCCAUUUGAACCAUGACAGUCCAAGAUUGGAGCCUUGCUAAUGGGCCCAUUGUACUCUGGGCUGAGAUGACAGUAAGGUCAUGUGUAUUUGGAGUGAAACAUAUGAAUUUGGAGUGAGGCCUUGGUGUUUGAGCAUGUUAUUUUCUUCCUCUGCCUCAAUUUUCCAGAUAACUAGGAGUAGUAUUAAAGUUCAUGAUUUGUGGCACACAGAACCAAAUAAUUGCACUACUCUUCUUCAGCAUUUGGGAGAACAGGCGGCGACUACUGUUGUUAAAGCGCACAUAUGACAUGCUAAUUCUCAGGUUAUCCUUUGCAAAAGUGACACCACUAAUUCUUGCUUGUGGCCUAAAGGGAAAACAGAACGCUUUACUGGUUCAUCCUUUUUUUUUCUGGAAAGGUUUACUGGUUCAUUCACCAACCUAAGAUUCACACUGCACUAUUUGUCUGUCCUGUGCUAUUUUUACUUUCGCUCCAUUUUUGUCUCGCUUUAGGCUCUGUCACUUCUGAAACUGAUGCGCAGAUGUUUCCAAACUGGGUUGCACUCACUGUCACUGCCAGUGUAUAAAAAUGCUCUUCCCAAGGAAUUAACUGCUAACAUGCAGGCUAAGGUCUCCACAUUUUCCUGGACAGCAAAAUCAAUCACGCGACCAAAUAAUUAAAUCUAAAUUUGUAGAUUGGUUCUAUCUCCUCCUGACUCCUGCGCGGGGUCAAGCCAUCAAAGCAACAAGCACUGAAUUAGCGCUCGAGUGUUUUCUACACCGGUUCAGAAGUGGCUGCAUUAUCCCCAGCAAAAAAAUAGAUCAGUUCCUAAUCUGCACCUACGUAAAUUAAUUAUAGUCAGAAAGAUCGAUCCACGUCGUAGUCAACACCAUGAGGUGUGAAAUUCUAAAUCCAAUCAUACACUGGAUAAUCAUAAGCGAGCUGUUCUUCGUAUUGGUGUUUGCUUCUCCUCCCUGGGUGGUCCGAACAGUUAUCUGCCGAAUCCAAAGGUAUAUUUCAACAUCGGGGCAGUAGUUUUCAGUGUUAUUUUCAGCUUGCCCGUGCAUUGCAUAGAAGAUGAAGGUGGCUAGACUGAAGAGAGACUGGUUCCAGUUCCGGACAAUCAAAUAUCCUGGCCCGGUUGUUCCCCUGGAUAGGCAUCAAGUAAUUGUUAUCCACUUGCUUUGGAUGGCUAUGACCCAGUUCUGUGCAAUUCCCCUGUCCCAAUCAUCAUUCGAAUUUGCUGCUCCGUUUCUUUAUUCCUCGGCAGACCAAUCCACAAUCCAGCAGCUCGAAAAAGAAAAGGAAACACUACGAAGAGAAAUCAAUCGUUUGCUUCAUGUAAUAUCAGUACUUCUUCUCAAUUUUGACUAAAUUUGAAUGCAUCUAUAGACUAAGUCAUGUCUAGAUACAUCUAAAUUUUGACAAACUUGAGACAUAUUUUGUUGCAUGGAGGGAGUACUAGUUAUUCAGCACGUCCUGAGUACGUACGAUCGUAUCUAUUGGUCAUUGGCGCGGAUAAUUCAGACGAGGCCAAUGAAGCCGAGGUUUUUUUUUUCAAAAAGAAGGGCAACACCCGGCCUCUGCAUCGAUCGAUGCACACAGCCAUCAAUUAUUUUUAAUAUUCAAAGUGUAUGUCUCAAGUUACAUCUGAAUACAAAGGGACAAAAUGAUUAAAAUCAAGAUCCUUCCAGCCUAAGACCUGUGCGUCACCUAAACCGGUUGAAGAACUCCCUGCUUACCAUCUCCAAAUGGUUGCACCUAGAUUUCCAUAGACCCAUGUUCCUCCGUCCGAAGCAGUAGGGAUCAGGUACGGAGCCAGUGGAACGCUUGAAGAACAAUCUGCAGCAGGAAAUUAGACGAGCUGAGCGUGGAGCACGGGAAUAGAAAAAAAACAAUAAACUCUCCCUUAACACACUCUUAAUAUGCCGUUGUGAGGUAUUUUUCAUGUGUGAAGUCAAUUCAUUUGCUAUCAUAUCUGAUUACACAAAUGUUAAGAUCAUUUGGACUCGGCCAAACUUGAUAUAGAAUAUGUAAUAGGUAAGUGCACCCCUCUGAACUAUGGCCGAGCGUAAAAAUUCUUAGCAACGUUAUUCGAGCUAGAAAAAAAAUGAGUUAGAAAGUCAAGCAAAAUAUUAUGAAUUGAGAAAAUAUACUUCAUAGUGGGCAAAAUCUGAAAUCUUUAGAGAAGUGGGAUUAAAAUCAUUUCAAAAUAAAAAAUAAAGUACUAGUUAAAAAUAAAUUUACUAUGGGGAACAUAUAUAUUUUAAGGCUUCUUUGACGCGAAUAGGAAAAAUACAGUAUGGAAAUGGCAUGCCAUGUUAAAUAGUGCAGAUUCAUAUCAUGCAUAGGAAAGACGUAGGGUUCUUUUCAACAGGUUACAGUGGAUGGAAAUUUUCUUACGACAUCUACUGCAAAAUGAAUACUAAGAAAAAAAAUCCCCUGGUUUGCAAACCCACGAAUGAAACAAUCUGUGUAAGAAAAAUUAUAGAGGACGACGCAAAUUCAUGAGGAUUCAAGAGUACAUGACACUCUGAUCCUGUGUGUCCUUAUUCUCAUGUUUUAGAAAUCCCGCUAAUCAUAUCUCUCGUCAAUCUUGCGAUGGCACUGCUAUGAGGAAUAUGUACGUGACAUGUUAAAAAUAAUAAUUUUGAAAUUUGGUAAUGUAAACAUCCAAAUUUACUAAUUAUUGACUGGCUCAAAUCUCUUUUUGCCUCCAUGCAGGAAACUUCCGAAAAUUAGGAAUCGAAACAAAGUUAGAUUACAAGGAUGAACCCCUAGCGGUGGGAUGAUCGAUAAGAAAAGAGAGAAGUACGUGUAAGAGAGUGGCAGACCAUGGUGGGGCUGAAAACGGGCGAAAUCUUUCCAUCGGUUAUGCAAAAAAAAAGAAUAUUUGAAUCAAUUUGUCCACAAAAUUGAAUUUAAAAAUCAAAUAUUAAGAAAUAAGCCCGCAAUUAGUAUCAAUUUUGUCCAUUAGCACCAUCAGGCCCAUGGCUCCAUCAUGCGCGCUUCAUUUCUGGCUCCACCAUUGGUCCACGUCCACAUUAACCAAUUCUAAAUACCUACCCCGUAUAACAUGUUUCAAAUUCCCUCUAUGGCCACUCGUAAUUUUACAUCUUCCAUGCCUCCACAAUGUUUUCACCAUGGGGUCCUCCAAAGUGAGGCUGCACCAACCUUCCACUAGCGCGCGUUUCUUUCCAUUCGAUGUUUUACGCUCCUAGACUUGCGCUCCGGCAAACAUCACAUUAUAACCGCAUCCGUAUUGUAUUUGCUUUGUACUCUCUCCGUUCGUAAAUACUUGCACUAAAACCACGACAAAUAUUUAGAAACGGAUGGCGUACUCUGUAUUCAUUUCCGAAUAGGAGCACAUCCUUUCGUAAUUUCCAAUUUCACUAAUUGCUGGGCGGACGUACGAUCUUGGCCCCACGCUACUCUCAUCCACCGAGCUGAUUUCCGUGUGCUCAAAAUAAUCCGUGUGCUGGCCAUCCUAAUCCGUGGGGGCAACCCACGCCACACUACACUCACACUUCAAACUUACCCAGGACCGGAAGUUUCUUUUUUUUCUCCCCCAUCGGAGGACCAGAAGUUUCCAGCAGCAUGUACGUAUUCCAAUCCAACGGCACCAUUUGUGGAAACAAAAGCCCACUCCUCACCGCACCAAAUCAAAAUUAUUUAUUUCGCACUUAAUUAGCACAAUCAAAGCCCCUGUCAUGCGUGCCUACACAAGCAGAGCACCACCACACCGCCUGGCCAUUCCAUUCCCCCUUCACGAAUCCCAGCCUUCCACCAGGUAGGAACCCCAUCAUUAUUCUUCGCACCCAAACCAAAACAGACAAAAGUUUACCAAGAACCGCACGCCACGACACACUGCCCUGCUUCGCUUUGGCUUUGGGAGUGGCCGAGUGGCAUCCAACAGCGGUUCUUCUUCUCGCUUGGCUGGGCAGGCAUGUCGACGCCGGGAGGAGCGGGGGCGUCGUCGCACGGGGUGUGCUGCAGCUCGGGCGGGACGCUGGAGCUCGUGGCGGCGUUCACGGCGGUGUGCCUGGCGCUGUACGGGGUCAUCCUCUACCUCAACUACCUCUACGUGCGCUGGAACGGCCGGGACGGCGUGCACCGGGCCACGGGAUCGGGAUCUCCUUCUUCUUCAGCGGCGGCGAGGAAGGGGGCAGGCGGAGGGGGGCUCGACAAGGCGGCUCUGGCCGCCAUACCGGUGUUCACGUUCAAGGCGGAGGACGCGCACGGGCCGGCGGUGGAGUGCGCCGUGUGCCUGGGCGCCAUGCAGGACGGCGACGCCGUGCGCGCUCUGCCCGGGUGCGGCCACGCGUUCCACGUCGCCUGCGUCGACGCCUGGCUCCGCGCGCACGCCUCCUGCCCCGUCUGCCGCGCGCGCCCCGCCCUGCCGCCCAAGGCCAAGGCGGCGCCGGCCGAGCCCGCCGCCGCCGGCCGGAUGCCGGACCUGGAAAGCCAGGCUUGAUUAGCUUUGCUUGAUUUUAGCCUUCCACAUCUUCCGUGCGUGUUUUGUUUCCCUGUUUCCUUGCUUAAUUUCUCGGGAGCACGAAUGGUUUAUCAGCCAUUGAGUACAUAAUUUCGCUGUUGAUGUGCUUCGAUUCGCACCAAGGAUAAUGUUCGUGCCGUGGCUUGUAGACCUGUGCAUUGGUGACCGGUGUUAAUACCCUAGUAUUGUGGUAUUUUUCUCCUUUUUCCUAGUUUGAGGAAUCCCAGUGUGCAGCUCCCAUCACAACUCCCUGGGGAAUUACCAGGUAGAAGUAGACACCUAUUUUUUUUUUCUGCUAACUAAUUUGAUGGUUACUAGAUGCCUGGUUUUUAACUAAACAUGUGGUGUAGGGAAAUUGGAGCUUCAGGUAGUAGAUAGGACCAAAUAUUUGUACUGUCAAAAGAAAAUCGAUGGGGCCAAAAAGAUUGCACAAUAAGUAAUUAAAUUAACCUUGACCUGUGCAUUGGUGAAUGGUGUUUUUUUUUUGGUGAACGGUGUUAAUAAUGUAGUGUUGUGAUGUUUUUCUCCCUUUUUCCUAGUUUGAGGAAUCCCAGUGUGCAGGUGCCAUCACAGCACACUGUUACAUGGUGGAAGCAGACACCUAUUUUUCCAGCUAAUUAAUUUGAUGUGUUAUUAGAUGCCUGGUCUUUAAUUAAACGUGUGGUGUAGGGAAAUUGGAGCUUCAGGCAGUAGAUAGGACCAGGGAUGCAACCGGGAUCCCGCGAAAGUUCCGUUUCUAGUUCAUUUUUCAAAUGUUCUAUUCAAAAUUUUGCUCAGAAUUUAAAUAAAAGAUUUGAGAAUUGAACUAGAAAAGGGAUCCCGUUUGCACCCUAUAGGACCAAAUGUUAGUAAUGUCAAAAGAAAAUAGAUGGGGCCAAAAAGAUUGCAGAUAAGUAAUUAAAUUAACCAACCGGCUAGUUUCAUUGGAGCCAGUCAGGUGAUAAAAUUGGGGUGCAGAUGGUGGAUCAAAGAACGGCUGAAAGUGACGUUACAAUUCCAUUGGUUGCUUUCGGGGAUUAAACAAGCCCAUUAUAGCAGAAAGGAUGUAAGGGGGGGCUUUUACCUGUGGGUAAUGGAAUUUGGAACCUAUAGUCUCCAGACAGCUAAGGUCCUUUUUGGGAGAUGGCACAUGAUCAGCCUCCUUCUGGCAUAUGAAAGAUAGCUCAUUGACACUCCAUUAUCCUAUCAUCGUCCAAACAUACUGUACCGGUUAGUGCUUGUUUUAACAAUGGGGUUUGAUUUCUUUUUUCCCUGUGCGAUACCUCACAAGUCACAACAGAUCGGGCCUACCCUGAAUAUGAUGUUCUUUCUUCUCUUCUUUCGACAUGUCAUCCCCUGGUUAGAGUUACAGAUCGCAGGGUUCGCAUUGUGGAUCACUCGCAAAGUUUUUUUUUCCAAAAUAUGUAUUAAUUAUCCGUUUUCAGCGGAGGGUUCGAACUUGCUUCUUUGGUUAUUUGGCGAUGUUCAGGUCCUUUAAAAUGCAAGAUUUUUGUUUGGUUUUUCCUUAAGGGGGGAGGAUCAAAGUUAGAGCAGUUCUUCAUCAUCAGAAUGACAGCAUAUCAUGGAUCAAAAAUUUUGUCCAUUCGGUUAUGGGGUUUUAGAAUUUGUAUCAUCGUGGGAAUGACGCUCGAAAUGUCCACAAGGUGGUUUUAUCAAGCAAGAUUUCGUCAUCGGCGGCGUCGGCACUAUAGUCUCACAUGCUCUUUGCAGAUUGUGUCUUGGGAAUGGAAUGAAAUCGGGUGGGACAUUGUGUACUUGGUAGAUGGGCGAUGUGCUUGGAAAUUGGAAUCAGCAUGUUGUGGUACUGUUUUUGGGCUAAAAGGGUGAUAGAACCAUCGGGUCGGUUAGUACGGAGUCCCAAAGCCACACACCUUGGUUGAUAGUGCUUUUCGGUUGCGAACGAAGCCCAACUCUGACAUUGGUCGGUCACAGACGAGGCCUAUUUUGGUUUCCCUCUUUUGGCCAGAGGUGUUGGGUGAAUGAGUGAUUGUCUGGUGCGAGAUGUUAUUUGCUCCCACUAUCAACGAAAUGAGUGAAAUAUUUUGCCACAUUAAAAUAAGUUUAUUAGGUUUCUCUACUAAUGUAAUGUCAAAUUAAAAUAAAUCUAUGCUAGUGAACUGGGCCGGUUUUUCGUGAACCGUUAGAACCUUGAUACAAACCGCAACGUUCUGGACCCUGCUAGUGCUAAGUGUUACUCCCUCCGUUCCAUAUUAAACGAGUCAAAUUUGUUCAAAUAUGGAUGUAUCUAUGACUAAAAGGCGUUUAGAUACAUGUAAUAAAAAGUCACUUAAUAUGGGCGGAGGGAAUACUGCAUAACGUUUGGAUGGCUGCUUUGAUUUGACUUGUAAACAAGGUAAACUUUGGAGUUACGGUCAAAGCAUGACAGGUUUUUCGUUCCACUUACAUCAAUUCGAUCCAGAGCCGUGUAUGCCACUCGAUGUGAGGCUGAAGUGGUCUGAUAUGUACUAAAUCAGAUUAGUCAGAUUGGACAGCUCCACUAGACUUGGUGGUCACUUCCCCUGACAUCAUGGCAUUUGGGCAACCAGACUUGCCGGCAUGACAGGUGGGUGGCCUCCGUGGGCGCAACACAUGAUCAAAUCAAGGCACAAACAGUGUGGUACUAUGCUAGCCUUCCUACAAAUAUUAUUCUCUGUUAUCCAGUACCAAGUGUUCCUCGCACAAAGGAGUAUGUGGCUAAUGCUCCAUUAUAAUAUGCCUCAAGCUUAAAUAAAACAAAGAUUUUUUUAGUCUUCGUGCAUAAGCCUCAAUCUCACUCCUGAACAAGAUAAUGCUUUGGACCAUGUUUAAUUAGAAUGGUUGUUGACCUGUUGCUUGGACCAUGUACAUUAUCCUUGUUCACAAAUCAAACAGCAAGGUGCCUGGCUAGGCUAGAUACCUCUGUUUGUGCUCGUUUGCUAGCCAUCAGUCAUGCCAUGCUCUAAUUAUCAGUUGAUUCUAGCGAGUAAAUCAGUCUCUGUCUAUCAUUCAAAAGUAAAAAAGUUUCCCUCCCCUGUUACACUCACUCAUUUCCAAUUUGUGCUCGAGGACAUAAGCUACACCACUCACUCAUGUGCCUUUUGCAACUUAGCGAUCUCAGUUAAGUAGGCAUUGACCUAAUGACCGGCUUUUACUAUCGCAGUCCCCAGAUUGAUUUGUUUGCCUCCAUCUGAAAUUGAAAAGCUAAGAACCAACCAUUAGAUCCCGUCAAUUACAUCACCGUGUACGUUAUGCACAGUUCGCUAGAUGUCUUCUUCAAGUCCUCCUUCCUUCACUGUAAAUAUCUUCCGUGACAGAACAAUUGCUGCAGUGUGUCGGAUGUAUGCUUCGAGUGAAAAUUUGCAGGGAUUCUCCAUCCCUGCCGAUGAUGACGGAGCCUUCGGGUGUCGUUACCUCGUUGGAGGCUUCAUCGAGGAGAUAAAUCCUCCCACUUGGAUGUUUGGAGUUUCUGAGUGAAAACCGAAGAUUUGUCCAUUUUCGGAUCGGGCGACGAUGACGUCUUAACGUCGUUUUCCUCCUUGGAGGCAUUGCCUUGGAGACCCCGACUCUAGAUCGCUUUCGGUCGCGUGCUUAGUCAUAGGGAGUGCUUCUCCUAGGUUUUGUCAGAGGUUGGGUGGUUUCUUAUGUCACCUAUGUUCUUGUUUAUGUCUGGCAAGAGAAUGCUUUUAUUUUUUCUUUGGCGUGGUCUCGAUGUAUGAUGCCUUUCGCACCGACGGCACAUAUGUGACAUGUUGUUUUCUCGGUGGUGUGUGUCCUUUCGGCUGGCCGAUGGCACAAGACUGUGGUGGAAUGUUCUUGGUUGUGAGUCAUGCUUCGAUUUCAUCGGCGGCAUUCUCCGUCACGGUGGGUCUCUGUGGCGCAUGGCCCAUCGACUAUGUCGGCUAUGUAGGUGUCUCGGUGUGACCUGGGCUGCGCACUACCCUUUGGCUUCAUCGACGACACGGUGAUAGGGGGCUUGAAAACUCGACACCUUCCGACUAAAUCGUUGGCGCUCCUUGUUGUGCAUGUCUCUCGCUAUUGGCAUGUUUCGAGAUCCUAGGUUUCUUUUUCCAUGUUUAUGUUGCCAAAUGCUGCCGUUGUAACCGUUGUAUCCCAAUUUUUUUAUUUAAUUAAAAUGGUGCAGGCUAGCUUUUGCCCAUUGUAGUUCUCAAAAGCAAUUGUUGUGGCUGCGUAAUUCCUCCCCCUUUUUCUGUUCCUGUUGUUGUUAAGCACAUAAGCACCAACCAUUUCUCGAGUAAGCGUGUGUGUGUGUGUGUGGGUGGGGGGGGGGGGGGGGGCAGGAUAUGGAGAAUGGGCCACAAAUAUUGCAUGCAUUGCCCAUAGCUUAAAUCACACGACAUCUCCGCUGAGUACGAAAUGUUGUUUACAACGUUCUGAUAUAUUUCAUCCAUCCGGAAAUAAGUGACUUGAAUUUGUAUAAAAAUCUAUACAAAUGGCUUGUGCACCUGAGACCAGGGAAGGAGGUCUCCAAAAAUUCACCAUAUUCUACAUUAUACUAUGUAAAUAAAUAAAUUUGCAAAAAUAAAGUAUGUAUAAAAAGUCUUAAAUGUCGAAAAAUGAAAUAUACCCUCAAGAUCUCGUAGCCAUACAAGCGAAAAUGACCGUCAAGACAAAAAUGGCCUAGCCGGCGUGGCCAAGCUGAACAGUGUAGAAAAGAACGCAAGUAUCUUUUAUUUGGCGGCAAAAUAAUAUUUUCAGCAUCAAAUUUGAAAAUAAACAAACCAGAAUUGAAUGUACCAGCAUCCAAUUGGCAUGUGCAAACGGGAAGAAAAAAAAUACCAAGAUGAAUGAUCACCGAUUCGCAUCGCAUCACCCAUCACGUGCUCGGCCAGGGCUCCCGCGGCCAGUUUCGGCGCCAGAAUGACGAGACCGCGGAAAAGAAAAAUUGGAAGGUUUCCCUUCCCCCCCUCUUUCCCCCCACGCGACGCCAAAGGCUAAAACGAACGCCAGCCCCGCACCAAAAUGGAAAAUUUGCUUCCCUCCACGGCUCCGCUGCUGUUUCCGCCGCUUGCCCGCUCCCACCAAGAUUCCCCCGAAAACAAAUCAAAUACAUGCCGCAUUUGAGCAUUUUCCCACUCCCUCCCGUUCUCCCCAAACCCCCGAAAUUUCAAACCCAGCGUCGGGAUCCCAAAUUCUCGAUCUGCCUCCCCUUCCGAUCCAUUACAAAUACCAGCGCCACUUCUCUCCCUCGAUCCAAAGCUGCUAGCUACCUAUUCCCUUUGAUCUCCUCGCACCAGACCACCGCGUCUCCUCGCCUCCAGGCUCUAGCUCACAAAGAUGGCAAUUCUUGCCUGCCGCAGCAGCUGCAACAAGGAGAAGGUGCCGCCGCCGCACGGCGUCGCCGUCAAGAGCCACAGGAUGAAGAGGGCCGGUGCGUGCGGCAUGAAGGCCAGGAAUCGGGUUCCCCUACGCGACAUCACCAACCUCUUCCUGCCUUCGGCCGAGAGCGCGUCAGCCGCCGCGCAGCUGAGGCCGCGAGAGGAGCCGGCACCGGCGCCGGCGCCGGUGGCCGCGCGGAGUGGUGCCCCGGACGUGGUUGCUGUGCAGGGGAGGAGGCUCUCGCUCAGGAAGGAGUUCAGAUAGCGCGCGCUUGGCGCAGUUUUUUUUCUUUCCUUUUUUAGCUUUGCUCGGCGCUGUUCUUCGUUGGAGAUUUUGACGGCAAUUCCUUUCAUUUUUUUUUCUCCUUUAGUUACUCAGCCAAUUUCCUGUUGGCUGGCUCAAGGGAAUGGAUUGUUCAUUGUUAUUGAGACAGGAAUAGGGCAUGUUAAAUGGAAAGGUAUUAAUUGAUCCCAACUCUUGAUCGAGAUCGUUCCUUCUUUCUUUCCUGCAAGUUUUUGCUUCAUGGUUGGGUUGUCUGAAUCCCAGUAGCAAGCUAGUAGCAUCGGCAGCACCUCAAGUCAUGCAAUUCAACCUUCAGAAAUCACAAUGUAAUACAGACGAGGAAAAAAACAAAAACCCACAAAACUGAACCAAAGAACGAAGUAGGUCUUAUAUUUUGUGUCUUUCUUAAAACAAAAACAAAAAAACAUAAUAGUGUCUUCACAGCUUCGCUGCAUAAUCCCAUAACAAUCAUCACUUGCAAUGUGACCGGCCUCGUAUAAUGACCCGUCCGCUGGGUGCUUCAAUAGUUCUCCACAAGCAUAGCGGGAGGCGUGCAAUCCACGUAACUUAAAGUUUCUCGAAACCCGUCUGAAAAAGAUGAUGAUUGUAAUGAGUCGGGGUUCAAGAAGAACAAAAAUAAAAUUUGGUAUAGAACUAACCAACUCUUUCCGUCUUUCGUUCUCUUCUAGCGACACUAUGCAUGUAGGCACAAAGAAGAACUGAUCCUCUGAAUUCUUUAAAGUGCUUUUAGCUCUGAAAUUUACAUGACCCCAUGAACCUUUUGAUUCAGCAUUGCACAGCUGAUGAUCGGUUUGACGAGCUCAUACUUGAUCUAGCAAUUUUUUUGGACGAAAACGUGACAGUGCUGCUUUCAAUUACUUAAGAUGGUAGAUAAAGUUAAUUAUAUGGCAACAACAGCAACAUAGAGGACUAAAAACUAGAACCAGAGCUAACAAUAAAACGGGGACAGAUCCUUGGGGGGACGAACCCCAUGAAACCAACAUUGCUCAAUCAUCUAAAAGGAAGCAACAGCUGCACAGCCCGCGGUCUUCCAGGAGAGGAGUUCAUCAAAAGCUAGCUCACAUAGCCUGCUCACCGAGUUUUGCUUGGAGUGAAAGACCCUUGAUUGUGCUCAAGACAAAUCUGCCACCACUCGAGCAUAACAAUUGCUCUUAGGCGAGUUCGGUGCUUAUCGGAGGGGCAGCGCUGAUCUUCGCCUGUCCACCAUUCACCGAUUGAGCAUUUUUUUAGAAGUAAUAAAUAAAAAUGAUUGGAAAUGGCAUAUAUUUCACAAGAAUGAAAUCUAAAACACCAUACAUUUUAUUAGAAGACUAAAGCAAAUGUAGAAGUAUUAACUAAUGUUUUUUAGGCUAAGUAUUAGCUAAUACAAGUUAAUACAAAUGUAAUAUCUAGUACCUAAAAUGGAACCUGACAAGUUGUUAAUCGACUCUGAACUUAAUAAUAUGAUCUUUGGUCCGUAGAACUUAGCAUAACAACGGACCUAACCAGAAAAUUAUGACCAUAUAGUUAAGACGGAUGGCAGAUAGAUAAGGGCUGAAAGAGAAUUAUGAGAGUUAUUAACCAAUCAAACAUAUAAGCAUAAGGGAUUCAUUCAAUUUACUUCCUCCGUAUCUAGAUACUUUUUAGGCAUAGAUACAUCCAUAUUUGAGUAAAUUUGAGUCACUUAAUACGGGACGGAGGGAAUAUAUGUUAGCGCUCUGAUGGAGAAAAGGUAGCGGCGAAGGAGAAUAUGGAUCACCCAGAAGCACUAGUUGAGCUGAAGGCGACGAAGGGGAAUCCGGCUCUGGAGGUUCAGGAGAAGCAGGGGCUCGAUUUCCAUCUUGCCUCGAUUUCCUUCGCAGCCAGAAUAACUAUGAGCGAUCGAAUUACUGAUAACAACCAAUAAACAGAUUGAGACAUAUCCUUGCCGUCAGCAACAAUCGGCCAAUAUAAACUCUAGGGUUGAAUAUUGUACACUCACUUUCACGAUGCGAUCAGCGAAACGGGAGAGCAGGAAGGCUCGCCGGGAUCCGCGAAAAGCGGCGACUUCUACACUCUGCGGAGCGGCGGCGCCGGUGGGUGAGUUUCAAUCUCUGAUAGAUCCCGGCUGUUUCCCUGGGUAAAAAAAACCACGGACCAAAUUGACCCAAGGAAGCCCAAAAGCGCAUUUGGUAGCCCACGAGGGAAGGUAUCCCGGCCUUUCCCGCGGCCCUUCCCCGGGAGGCAUUUCCACGACCCGGCAGGUCGGGAAGAACUAAUCCCCGUCUCGCUCGCUCGUUUUCUCUCGACGCGUAGGUGGGACGGCGCCGUCCUCUCGAGUUCUUCCCUCCGGCGACCGAGGGCGUCGGCGUCCUCCCCCGAGCUCCACUCCACCUUGAGGCUCCUCUUCCGUCGGACGCAGCAGGACAUGGAGAGCUCUAUCAUCCCCACCUCAUCCGUGAGCGCAAAUCUCUCCUCCCCUUCCUUAGAUCCAAACAACUAGUUGCAGGCACGGUGAUUUCUCCCCCAUGGGGACAGGGAUACCCGUUGCACCUUAUAAAUUCCCCUCCUCCUCAUUUGCUACCCUGGGUGUUUAGCCCUGUGCGUCUAAACGAGCCCUGAAGAAGAAAUUGACUUUAGAAACCCAGUUCUGAAGAAGGAAAGCAACCAAUAUGAAUAUCUCUUCAGUUUUUUCAUCUACUGACUCCUGCUUAGGUCCAAGAGGAAAAAGCAGGCGAGGAUGCGCUGUUCCUAUAGCUGGAUAGGUGAAGAACGCUGGUCCAGUUAGAUCCAAUGCACUUGGCACUUGAGGUCCAAAUAAGCCCUUCCGACUGAACAUGUCUAGCCGUCUCCGAUUGCGAUACGAAAGCUGCUUGUUUCUUCCCUGACUCUCACGCGGGAUUUGGAGAUACCCAAACUGAAUCAAACGAGGCCCCUGUAAAUGCAUGUAGUACAAGAAAUGGGAUAGAAUACAAGUUUGAAAAUUAAGCACCAGAAGAACAAAUGGAUAUUUGGUUUUAAAAAUCAAUCCUCUUACAAGCCAAGAAAUGACCCCUACGCUCAAUAAAAAUUUCAGGCGAUUUCACUGCAUAUAAAGGGUGGCGCUCCCAUUCAUUCUGCAACUUUAGAAAGUUCAGAAACACCGUCUCUCCGGCAGAGCCAACUCUGCCAUUUUACACGCUUACAGAAAAGAAAUGAUGACAGGCCAUUUAAAAGUUGCAGAUUUCAUGCUUCCCCAUUCUACUCCUAUCUGGUGAAACUUUUACACCUCAUCACUUGCUUGCAAAAUCAUAGUACAGGGCAGAGUUGCUAAUUGUUGAACAAAAUUAACAGAUGUUCCUCUUAUCACACAGAAAUGAUUACAUUCUUCAGUCAAUUGCAAGUUAUUGGGGAUUCAUCUGGCUAGCUAGAGCAUGCGAGCGAGACUCAUGCGACGGAACAACGUAGGGCCUGUAUAGAGAAGAUUAUUUGUUUUAGGAGAAACCUAGCGGGUCAAUAACACACUCAGAUCACUCAACUUGCGGUGCGUUCAAUAUGCCCAUUAGCCUGAUUGAUGAACUUGGUUGAAAGAUCAAAUAUGGUGCAAAACUCGUCUUGUUUAAUUGCAUUAUUUUGGAGGAGAGAGUGAGGAGAGCACACACUAACUAUGCCAUGGGCAAAAUGUAAAGGCAGAUUUCAGAAUAUAUCUGACUUUUACAAAAUUCAUGGCCUUGAUGUCUUUUUUAGUUGAAUGAGCAAAGUGGACGUAUUAUGCAAGUUAGUGUCUGCUGGGGAGUGAGUUCUACUCGCUGCAAAAUAAUUGCCCACCUUGACUAGGAUGGGUCAAACCGAAGGGGCAAGGCUUAUGACAAACCGAUGUAGUCCUUCGUGCUCCUCCAUUUUGUGAUUUGUAUGCGCGCAUUAGGACGCCGUCGAGCUAAUAAUAUUUUCUGUUCUUAAUUGGGGGCAACACAAGAACAAAUGCAGGAUGACACGCAGCUGCACAACUGAACUGAGCAGGUGCAUUCUCGCUAGAGUGGCAUUAUAGCUGACGUACGUGCUUACAUUUCAACAUGAAUGAACAAUAGGAUCAUCCAUGGCCCAGGUAAUUGGCCCGGUUUUUAGGUACGUUCUGCGUCGGUUUUGGCAGGUAUAUGAUGUAAGCCGAGUCUUGUUGAGUGCCAUCACUGUCGACGUUUUGAUCAAAACAAGAUGAAUAGAAGGUCAUUCAUCUGAGCCUUACAGCCUGAAUGCAGCAAUAGCUAAGACAGUUGACCUAUUUUAAGCCUGCUUUGUCAGUCGGUACUUAUUUUCUGAUCACAUUUGUUUGAUGCAUAUAAUCGAUCAUCUAGUCCAGUUAUUAUAGCUAAUCACCAUAUAUAUACUUACCAAACCUACUUUUAUAAAAGUCAACCCGUACUUCUGUAAAUCUCACCACUUUGGAUCUGAGUUCUUCAAUAUGGAGGACAGGAUAUGGUAUAGAGAUUGAAGAUAACCAGAUCACCAAAUUUUUGUCCUACCUACUCCACUUCACUCUGCAAAGGAACACUUAACCCAAGUAUUCAAUUGCAAACCCCAUCAAAUAUAGUAGGAGGGCUUAAACUGCUGUGAAUUAAUGGCUCCACUGAAACGACAUAUUGUCAUGUUCAUGAAAAGUCGACAAGAAAAGGGUGUAAAAGUUGCAUGCUUGCUUUGACCUUUCACAUUUGCUAGAUCUAUAAUCACCGGCCAGUUAUUAGUUAAUCCGCAUACUUAUCGAGCCUACUUUUUUCUUACUCCUUGGUGGUGGUUUAGUGGAUCUCAGCGCUUCCAACCUGGUCAGUUCUUCACUUCAUAGGUCCCUGUUCUUUACUUCUUUACUAUGGUGGCAUGCAUAGUAGUACUAUCAAGGUAAGAUAUAUGGACCGGAUCGAGGUUCCUAGCUCACUGUUUGUCCUAGCUCCGCAAGUUUACUCCUACUCUACAAUUGAGUAUGUAAUGAAUUCAAGCACGCAUUCCUAUUUCAAUUGCAACGUGCAAAGCCCAUAAUCAAAAUGGAGUUAAGCUGUAAGCAUGGCUCCACUGAAACGACGUCUUGUCCUGUUAACAGAAAAUGGGAAGAAAAGUGGUGUGCUUUCGCUUUGACCUUUCAAGUUGUCAAACACUACAUAUCAGUGUAGAAAAAGCACAUCUGCGUUAUUUCUUAAAACGAAAAUACGUGGUCAAGACGGAAAAGGUCAGCUAGUGCAUCAGUGGAGAGUGUCAGGUUAUAGUAGCAAAUCACAUCAGACCAAUAAAAUACUGCAUCAGGUGAUCCAUACAAAUUUUUUUAAGAAAAAAGGGCUUAUUUUCUUAGCUAGCAUCCCAAAGACUGCCUAGAGUUCGGCCUAUAAAUACCCUAAUUAAUUAAGCUGUAGAUGUAUGCAUAUAGUCGAAGUUUAGCUACCAUUCUCAAAGUAAGUAAUCAAGUUCCAACGGGCUCAAUGAGGAAGCUAAUAGCACUGUGUUUCUGCAUCUGCCUCUGCGUCCUCCUCGUCGGCUCCUCCUCCCCCGAUCCCCUCUCCGACCGUUGCCCCCUGCACCACCGUCGCCAGCUUGAGGAAGCCGUCGCCGUCAACAUGCCGGCAGCGAGCGCGAGCACCACUGCCGCGGUACGGCCACGGGAAGAGAUCGCCGAGAUGGUGUACGGGAGCUCCAAGAGGCUCAGCCCCGGGGGACCUAACCCUCAGCACCACUGAGAUCCUCGAUUAUCUUCGUGCAUGCAUCCAUCACUUGGGGCUUCAAUGGCAGCGUGUGGCUAUCAGGAUCUUCGUUAAUAAUCUUCGUGAUCUCUCGCUUAGUGAACGAGACUAGGCAUAGAGUGAGAGAGCGAUCGAUAGGUGUCUGUCGGCUUCGUAAAGUAAUGUGUUUCUGAGAUUUGUAAUGGACUUCUAUGGAAAAAUUCGCACAUUUCAAGCAAGACCUAAGGUUUGUAUUAUACAUUUUCAACAGAAAAUUAAUUAAUCUUGUUAAUGACAAACAGCGCAAUGAUCUCCGUGGUUCUCUUGACCGCAUGCCUCCAAAACAUGAUUUUUUUUCCUGAGAAGGAGGAUAACCUCCGGCCUCUACAUCGACUGAUGCCUACACAGCCAUAUACUCCAUCGGUUCUUUAAAUUAGGACGUAUAUUGUUUCUUCUGACCGAGCCAUUGAUCAAGGAUUACUUCAUCAAUGUGUGACUCAUGUGAUACAGCUAAUAACCAUAAACAAAUACUUUUGAAUACUAAUGGAAUGAUAUAAAUUUUAUUUCAUAAAAAAAAAUAUUAAUAAACUAAAUCUUGUUCAAAGGCUUGGGCAAAAGAAACAAUAUACACCAUAGUUUAUAGAACGGAGAGAGUAUUAUUAAAGUCAAGCAAAGCCAGCCAACAAAGCCAAACGAAGUCAGAAAAAAUGAAUCCACCAAAUUACCACUAGCUCAAUGAUAAAGGCCAAAAACAAAAAGAAGCACAACUCCUAGACAAUGCCUUCAGAAAGAAACAUGGCAUGUGCGCCAAUGAUGACGAGUCCAACCUAAAAUCAAACUCGGGACUUUUCAGACCCAAAGGCAAGCUUUGAACCACCACCUUCGACAAGGUCACGAUGCUGGCGCGCGUCGACAUUGACUGAUUUGGGAUCAAUUUUUUCCACCGGAGUGUGUAGAUUUGUCAUCAAAACUACAUGUACCAUCAUCACAUCACCGCCUCUAAACCCUUAGCAGCAACAUGCAUGACUUGGCGCCUCUCCAUGAGGCACCGCGCGUAAAUAGCACCUAACCCUGACAGAGUCCCGGGCCUCAAUGCAAACAAACAUGUUGCCAUUGCCAAAUGCCAAGACCUAGGGGUGGGCAUAAAAAACCGAAUCCGAAUUAAUCGGAAUCGAAACCGAAUUGGCCCAAACCGAAUUAACCGAUAAUAAUUUCGGUUGCUAAGUGUGAAUAACCGAAUUUAAUUCGGUGAGUUCGGUUAUUAAACUCGUAUAACCAAAUAAACCGAAUUAAUGAUAAAUUGUCUAAAAAAUACGUCGUUACGCACUUAUAUCUAUUUUAUUAUAUAUUUUGUAUGAAGUGUUUCUGAACUUUGGUGUACCUUCAAGCUAGGCGACCUUCAGUUAUGUCAAUGUUUAUUUGUUUGAGACUUAGAGCCAUAUAUAUGUUGGAAGUUCUGCUAAAAUUUAUGAUUCGAUGUUGUUUAUUUCCCUGCCAGUUCAUAAGUUCGGUUAUAUCGGUUUAAACCGAAACCGAACCAAAAUUUACGGUUAAUCGAAUUCUCGUUUAGCUGAAAAAUUGAGCAUAUUUCGGCUGACAUUUCUCGUUAACCAAAUUUUUGAAAAACCGAAAAAAAACCGAACCGAAUUCUCGGUUAAAACCGAACGCCCACCCCUACCAAGACCCCAGAUCAGCCAUCGUAGCCUGACAACUCACAGAAAACAAAAAAAGGAAAGAAAAUGAUUAACCGUCUUAGACUUCUUUCUGGUUUUUUCCUCUUAGAUUCUCAUGAGCUUGAUGAUGUGGUGAACCAUGUACCUCCUCCAAAGAAGUCAGAUGUAGUCACUACUACAAAACGGUCUAUAUCUCACGGCCCAUCAGUAACGGGUCGGACACGACCGUGAGUGAUGAACAACAUCACUGUCGGUCGCAGGCCCGACCGUCACUGAUGAACAAACGAGGGUUUGCCCGUCCCCGCCCAGCCAUACAUCAGUGACGGUCGCGCGAGGCGACCGCCACUCAUGUACCUUCAUUCCCCGCGAGAGUCAUCAGUGGCGGUCGUUGAAUGGUCGACCGUUAGUGAUGAGUGGUACAUCAUAACGGUCGCCCGAACGCGACCGUCCCUAAUGCCCUAGAGACAUCACUAACGGUCGCUUGUGGGUCGACGGCCAGUGAUGUUUUGUACAUCACUCGCGGUCACCCAGAUAGCGACCGUCACUGAUGUAGAUGCUAUUACCAGUCACGGUCGCGGAUGUUCCGACCGACACUGAUAGCUGACACAUAUAAAACCUCUUACAGAGCACACAGUUGGUCACGCUGCGCGUCUGCACACAGACCAGCUGCAGCGCCUUCUCCUCCGGCGACGGCGGAGCGCUGCCGAAAUUUCCCAUGGCGUCGGCCAGCAGGUACUCUCUCUUUCUCCCCCGGCCGUCCUCUUAAUUUUGUAUGUAGAUCUGGCCGGCUGCUCCGGCUGCGGUGCCUUCUACGCCGGCGCUCGCCGGAGCUCUCUCUCUCUCUCCCGUUGGCCAUGAAGCUCCAAUUUUGAGCUCCGGCCGGCGAUGAAGCUCCAUUUUUUGAGCUCCGGCCGCCGGCCAAAAUGCGCCCUCCUCGUCGUUGCCCCGAACUUCCCUCUCCCUUGCGAGCUCUCUCUCUCACUCCUGAUCUUUCUCUUCGGCCUCCAAUUUCUCUCCGAAUGUCCCCAAUUUCGAACUCUCUAACUUCAAAUUUCAAAUUUUUAGUAAACCCCUUAAUCCCCUUGUUAGUUAUUAGGCUAAUUGUCAUAGCCCGGGGCAUAGACACCGGGGCUGCGAGGCACCCCCUUUUUGGUUUGGCAGUGGGCGUUGGGGAUCGCUCCGGCGAUCGCCGGCGAGGCCAAUGACGAGCGUACAAUGCACAGGCCUGUUUACCCAGGUUCGGGCCACCCGGAGGUGUAAAACCCUACGUCCUGCUUCUGAGUUUGUAUUAGCCAAUGAACAAGUGUUUACAGGUUGCGGGGGAGUCCCCGGGCGCUCUCUUCCAUUUCUGCUAAGUGGCUACUUGCUACUUUCGGCUAAAGACCCGAACUCUAACUCCACUGGAGUGCAAUCUAGAAAGAACCAAACCCCCCGACCGAUGGCGAUGGUCCACCUUUUAUACUCAAGGGGAUACCACAGGUGCCUCGGUGCAUCGGGGACAAGUGUCGAGCAAAGACCCUAGGCAGCUUGCCUUUGCUGCGCUGGCAUGUAUGCAUGGUGCUAAGUGUUGUAGCUAGGGCGGUACGUGCCUUAGAUUAACUGUGAGCCACUAACUGUGGGCUGACUAGACAGGGAACCACCCUUCUGUCGGAGCAUUUAAUGCUUGCUUGUGCCAUACUCCACGCCCUGACUAGCCCUGCACAAAAAGAGCCUGCCGGGCGGCCACGUGGUGCCAAUACUCUGCUUGCACUACGCGCCGGCCCUGUUGUAAGCGCCUACGCCAGGGAACACUCUCCCCGGCAAGUGACCUUCCCGGGGGUUGCCCUGACGGGAACCUUCACGCUUCCAUCCGAGGCAACCCCGCAGCCCGGCUAGUCCUGCCGGGGUUGUGGCUUCCCGGGCAGCUCGCACUGCGCUGCCCGGGGUGCCGUCCUUGCGGGGACCAAGCGAGGCAACCCACGCGUUGCACAUUGCUGGUACCCCGGGUGCCACUGGUGCGACAGUAGCCCUCGGGCGUGGGCCGGCAACGCCCCUUCCCGGGCGAAGUCAUCCUUAGUCGGUUGCCGGGCUACGCCCUUAACCAACGCGUGGGUCCCGAGUCAUUUCGGGUUCCCGUUCAUGUGCUGCUCCAUGGGCUCCGCCGUUAUGAGCAGAGUGGUGGGGGCGAGAUUUCUGCCCUAACCUCCCCUUAAUCGCGGGUGGUUAAGGCCACGUCCCACAUUCCCCUUCUUUAAGCGUCGUUAUCCCCAGUGCACCCGUAGGGUCCGGAUGCGACCGUUGCUCAACGCUGGGGUGCUAUAAAACCCCACCGCUGCGCUGAGGGGCCAACACUUAGCCCCCGAGUCCAUCUUCCUCAUCCCAAUUCGUCCUCGCGCCCCUGAAUCCUGCUAAUCGCCGCCCACAUUCCCCAUGGCGCCCACGGCUCCCAAGAGAGGGAAGGGUUCCAGAGGCUCUACGGUUGACAAGGGCGAGAAGGCUCCCAAGAAGCCCCUCUCGGAGAAGGAUUAGAAGAACUGGGAGAUGAGGGCCACGCGGGCCUUCUUCAAGCCCGGCUAGAACGGUGAGGGGGUCGACAAGAUCCGGCACGCCGUCGCCAGCUCGUUCAACGAGUACGGCGAGACGCUCAUCUUCCCGCCGCGGGCGACCACCAGGACAACGACUUCCGGGUGUUCGGACACUUCAUCCUUGCUGGGUUCGUACCUCCAUACUCCCUCUUCAUCCAUGCUCUCAUGACGGCGUACCAGCUUAAGGUUGCGCCGCUCCACCCCACUUCCCUCUUCCUUCUCGUCGUCUUCCAAUUUCUCUGUGAGGGGUUUGUCGGGGUGAUGCCAUCGGUAGCGUUGUUCCGUCAUUACUUCUACCUGCGCGUCGAGCAGUCGGGAGCGAUGUCGUCGGGGGUCUCGUUCCGCGCCCGCGACAAGAUGAAGUCGGAGUUCGGCGUGCGGAGCGAGAAAAAGAUCGAGAAGGAGUGGCGCAGGAGCUGGUGUUGGGUUCGCGUGGAUGAGCCCGACGAGUUCAUUCAUGCGCCCACCGAGCUGUCGGCGAGUAACGGCAUCUGACGGGACCGCUACAGCCGAGACGCGGAACUCCUUCCCAUCAUCCAGAAGAUCAAGGCCUUGCGGCUAGCGGGGCUCACCGAUCUAGAUGUGGCGCGCACCUACAUCAGCUGGUGCAUCGCGCCACUGCAGCUGCGGUCCCGCCCUGCGUGGAUGUACACGGGGCCUGGCGACACCACGCGCCUACAAAGCGUGGGUGUGACGCCGAAGGUGAUCCAGGAGUGGGUGAAGGGAAUCACCGGCGAGGACGUUCCAUUCGCGGAGCUGCCCCCGGGGGCUCCAUCCCUUCACGCCGGCAUCGCGGGCCUCCACGACAUCAUCGGCAGCUACCCACCCUGCAACGAGUGGGGGCUGAUGUCCUAUUCUCUGGCUUCAGCCCCGCAGCCUCCGCCACCCGCAGCCCGCGGGAAGCAAGUGGCCGAGGAGAGCGAGGGGGGAUCGGAUUCCAGCUGGCCCGGCGACGAGGCUGGCGGCGUUGGCGGGGCCAGUAUGGUCCUCCCCGAGGACGACGUGCCGCUGGUGCGGCCACCAAGAGCGUCGG